rnacentral:lncRNA from 1 species
CUCGUGCUAUGUAAUUUACAUAAUUGUCCUUGCGAGUUUAUGCUUUGAAUCCGGUAUGGAGGGCAAUUCGGUCAUUUGGGAGAUUUACCCGCCGAUUUGUCGGCAUCUACUCGAGACGAGUAGAUUUAGGGGAUAUCUGACUGAAAGUAUUUCUUUUGAAAUAUCAAAACGGUGUCGUUUAAUUCGGUUUUGCUUGAGCUGUGUUUGAUUUGAGAACUGAGAUUGAUUUAGUUACUGUGAUUUGAUUGUGGGAAUAGUGUCGGUGAAAUUGGGGAGACUGUCAGUUGGAUCAGGCAAAGUGGGAAGGACUGGGAUUGAUGAUCUGCUGUCAUCUGCAGAUGGUGGAAAGCACGACUAUGACUGGUAAAAGUCUAAAGCUUUUUGCUUCUUGAAUUUGUAUUGUAUUUAAAUACAUGUAGUAGGUCUAUCUUCCUGACCCAUAUGGUUUUCUUAUUAGGAUUCAGAAUAGUUUCUUGCUAUAAUAUGCUGAUAUAGGAUCAAACCAGUAGGACAGGGCAAGAAAAGCAUCGCCUUAGAAUCACAUUGAAGUUGAUUGAAUGAAGAAUCAAGUAGAGAAUGUCAGAAAACUAAAGAACAUAGGUUUUAUGGACUUUUAGACUCUUAGCGCAUCUUUUACUGUCAGCAUUUCAGAAUCUCAUUUACAUCUCGGCUAAGCUGUGGUAAUGUUAUGAAGUAUUAGACUUGUGGUACCAUAAGGUUACAAGAAAAAUGUGUAAAAAUGUUUAAAAUGGGAAGUUGAAGAACAAAAGUUAUUCACAAAAAAGAUGAUAUGUGUUCUCUUGAAGACGUGUUAGAGGUAUGUAAUCUCCUUGGUGAGGAAAUUACUGUGAGAGAUACCUCAAACCAUAGUAUAAGCAUCCUUUAAUAAAUAGAUUCUAGAUUGAAUGAAGUAUGUUGAAUAUCCCUGGUUAACAGAAAACUGUGUCAUUUUAUUUCUUGAGACGCUUACCUAAAAUUCAAGGCAACAAGAAUUCGAUAGAUGUGUCUGACUUUUUUUCUUCUCUUCAACUUUCUGUCAUCAGGCUUCUCACUCCUCCAGAAACUCCACUUUUCCCUUCAUCUGAUGGAAGUGAAUCUCAACCAACCUUAGCUGCUGCAAGAGGCAGUGCUUUAAUUAGAUCAACUUCUUCGGCCAAGCCUUCAAGGGUAUGUUUUGCUGCAUUGACUUUAUCCAUGUUCCAUGUCAUAUUCCAUUUGUAGAUAUUAGAUGGACUCGAAUCACGUUCCAUUUGAAUUAGUAUUUGUCUCAUCUUAUUUCUCUGUUUCAGCUUUCAGUUUCACAAUCUGAGAGUAAUCAUUCAUCAAGACCAGCUAGAAGCAGUUCAGUUACUCGUUCUUCAAUCUCUUCAUCACAGUAUAACAACUAUUCCUCAAACAGAAAUUCCAAUUUCCUGAACACGAGCUCGGCCUCAGUUUCAUCUUACAGUAGACCAUCAUCCCCCAUUACCCGCUCUCCAUCUACAGCAAGACCUUCCACUCCAACCUCUCGUCCAUCACUAUCACGACCCUCAACUCCUUCAAGAGCUCGUUCUGUGCCGGCUAGCUCUUCCAUUGAGAGACCUCGGUCAGUGGCAAGCUCAAGACCCUCUACUCCUAGUUCUAGGCCACAGAUUCCUGCAAACUUGAGUUCACCAGCUGCUCGAACACCUUCUCGUCCAUCUACCCCCACUCGUCGGCAUUCAUUGCCUUCUUUAUCUCCAGCAUCAAGUCCUUCACCUUCAGCUGGCCGUCUUUCAAAUGGACGCAAUCCAGCACCGACAUCCAGGCCAAGUUCCCCUAGCCCACGUGUCCGUCCCCCACCACAGCCCAUUGUUCCCCAUGAUUUUCCUCUUGAUACACCGCCUAACCUCAGAACAACCUUACCAGACAGGCCAAUUUCUGCUGGAAGGUCUCGGCCUGGUGCUGCUGUAGUAGUGAAGGGAAAAUUAGAAACCCCAGCUGCCGUGGUUGUGCCAAGAAGACAGUCAUCACCCGUUGUUUCAAGGGGUAGACUUACAGAUCCCCCUGGAAGAAGCCGUGUACUUUCUAAUGGGCACCAUGAUGUUCCUGAACUUAGAAAGCCCCAACAUCUCCCUGACCUGGGCAUGCGGAAGCCUGUGAAGACUUCAUCAACUACAGCUCCAGAAAACACUGGAUUUGGGAGGAAUAUCUCGAAGAAAUCUCUCGAUAUGGCAAUCCGGCAUAUGGUAUGUAUAUUCUCUUCCUUAACAUCAUAUGAAUGAAAUUUUAGAUUGUGAUAGAAACUUUUGGGUCCGGACCAUCAAGUAAGGAGUUAUUUGAAGAGCUGGAUGAGGCUCAUUUAAGUAGUUUAUCCCUGAGAACCUACUUAUCAAUAUAUCUUAAUGUUGUCCUUUUGUCACUAUCAGCAUAUUAUAUCCACAUAAUCAUUGUUAUGUGGUCGGAGUUUAUCUAACAACUUCAUACACCAUGUGAGCACAAGAAGAGUUUGUCUAGUUUGUUAGAACUGCUUUGAUAAAUUUAUUCAACAGCUUUCUUGAGUAGUUUAUUCAUGCAGUAGAUUCUAAUGACUGAUCUUCUAUCUGAUGUAGGAUAUAAAGAAUGGAACAGGAAACAGUCGCCAACUUUCAGGCAGCACCCUCUUCCCUCAAAGCAUUCGGUCUGGCACUCCCAAGACCCAGACUGUUCGCACAUUGAGUUCAUCAGCAUCAGUGAACAUGAAUGGAGGCCUGCAAUCCAGAGGUAAUGGAUUUGUUUACGAGAAUGGAAACAACAUGAGUAAGCCUGUACAAAAUGGAACUGAAGCAAAUGGGGGUGGACGCUAUUCUUCCAAACUGACUGAUGUGGACAUCUAUGAGAGCUCUCGCUAUGAUGCAAUAUUGCUUAAAGAAGACCUGAAGAACACAAACUGGCUGCACAGUUUGGAUGAUAAAUUAGAUGAAGGACCCAUCUUUGAUAAUGGAUUUGAGCAUCUGCCUGAACCUUUCGGCCUCUUAUAACAUCUGAUUAGUAAGUGGUGUUGAUUGUUGUCCUUAGAUUAUAUGGGUUCUUUUAUAUGGAUGAAUCACUUAAAACAGGAAGCUUGUAAAAGAUAGUACUUGCCUACUGCAGUGAAAUCAAUGAAUUUAUUGUUGGUCUUCUAUAUUUACAUAGCGUAGCAGAAAUCGUUCCUCAUUGAAUUUAUUGUAGAAUUAUAUGCUUCAUUUACCUGUUUAGCAAGCUUUGAGAGGCUUUCUGGUUGCUUGAGUAACUGCCAUGACUUGAGCAGGCGUCGCUUUUAGGUUUUAGUCUUCCAUCACAGGCUACAUUUCUGUAGUUUUAUUUCAUCAGUCUAUCAUUUCUAAAACUGAUUCGGUCCACUAUGAAUCUAAUGAUCUUGUUCUGGUUAAGGAUACUCUUACAUUCCUUUCAUAGUCAAAUAGGCUGCUUACCAUCCUUUCGGAGCCUUGAGCCUUUGGGAAACCAGGAGUCUCUGAAAUGGACUAAAUAUUUAAACAAUCAGUUGAAAAGUUCAUCAUCAAAGGUCAAUUAGCAUGUCGGGCUAGAUUAGUGAAGCCAUUAGACCAGGGAAUCAGUCUGCCUAUGAAUAUCUUGAUGAUGGCAUCGUACCCAGAAUCUCAACCAAACUCUCAGGACCACCACCCUAACCAGUCCACAGUCCAUAACAUACUUGAAGAAAAGCAAGGGGGACCUCUUUGAUAUUUCUUUCUCACUCGGCAUAUUCAAAACGAUAGCAACUCCUGGAUUUGGAUGUCCUCCAUUUUUAGUCUUGCAUCAUGAGCAUGUGCUUCAACUAUUAACAUGGACAAUUCAACAUUUCAGUGAGAACUGUUUCUAUGAAUAUUCCAAGUUAUGUUUUCUGGAUUGAAAACGAGUGCUGGUUAGAAUUGUCUCUGGAAUUCAAUCCACAUCUGCCACAAGAAGUAGCUAGCUAGGUAUGUGAUUGUGUAGUUCGUCUCUUUCUGGGUAAAAUUAACUGUAUAUUCGUCACUCCUUUGUCAAUUCCAAAAGCUCUUUGUCCAUAUGUAAAUAGGGUAGUGCGUUCUACAUAUUCAUAUCUAUAUUUGGGCGUAAUGUGAACUUCGUGCUAUAAAGAAACAACUAACAUAAUUCUCGUAGAAAACAUUAUGAACUAUAGCUUACCUCUCAAAGCAAAUCUAUGAAUCUAUAGAUUGUAUUUGGUAAAAGUUUAGGGCGAUUGACACAUGUGGCAAUACUAUGAAUCUGUCACUAACUUCUCCUAUAGCUCUAUCUCUUUCUGAGGAAAAUUGUAUUGAAAGGGUUGUUUUAGGAGUGACAUAAGAGUUAACUCACGACCUAUUACCAAAUAAUCAAUCACUUAACCACCUCUUGUGUCAUUGAAUGUUAAUGGUUCAUUAGUGCAUAGUAAAUCUUAUUCGACCUACCUAAGCAACCCUCUAAUUCAUUUCUUACUUGAAUACAUAUAGAUGAUAACGACUCACGUAAUGAACACACUUUGGCUUUGCCAAAUUACAGCCAUUGGCUUUUACCAAAGGAAACUACCAUUUACUUUUCCUUCUGUGCCAAAUCUAGUGUGUAAUUCACCCUCUUCUGCUUUCAAUGCACAUUUGUUGGUUUAUGAAGAACAUGUUUCUGAAUAGCAAUGGAAAUAAUGGUAUGCUAGAGCCUAGAGGUGUUGGACCAUUUGCUCGCCCAUGCAUCCAUUAAUUCUUGGCUAAUAUUAUGCUCCCUUUAGAAUUUGGAAGUAACACCACGUGAUUUUAGUCAAAAACUAAGUUUUCAUUUUGUUUUCAUGAGUACUACGAUACCAUAUCGGGUGGUUUCUAAAAGUAAAUACUAAAUCAUACAUAUUUUUUAUAAUUUUUUACCGUUGGUUCGUGGAUUCUAAAUCAGAGGCAUAGUAUUAGUAAUGCUUCAAAGUUUUAACAACUUAAGAGUACAUUGUCAAAUUGGUAAGCUAAAUGUGACUAUCUUUAGUGUAAUUUCAUCAUUUAACUCAUGUUUUUUUAUUUCAUCACUUGAACUUCAAAUAAGCAAAUUACAUUUAACUACAAAUGUAGACAGAUCCGUUCCAUUCAAUCCAUUGAAUUCUUGGGUGACACAAUAAUAGAGUUAUGGAAUUAAAACUUGUUAAUCUAGGAGACGUUGGUAAUUAAAUUCCCCCCAACGGUAAAAUCCAAGCGAAGCGUUUAGCAAUAACCACAUAGCGAAAGCCAAGGUAAAACUCCCCAAAGGAUAAAAGUGAAAACCAAAGUCAGCAAAUAAAUACGGCUUGAUUUUGCAGAGCCCGGUAUAACUUCAACCUCAAGCUCUAAACCUGUAAAGAGUGAGAGAGAGACAUUGUCACAUUGCAGCGGAGGUCGAGUCAUCAUCAUCAUCAUCAUCAUCAUCGAGAUCUGCGUGUAAAAACAAAUAGGCUCCGUUAGCUUCACGGUGAAGCUUAAAACAAUUAAUACCCAACAGUAGACCAGUAAGUAACUAGUUCAACUCUCUCUGUCUCUCUCCGUAUCUCUCUCUGUCUCUCUGAGUAGAAGUAGUUGUUGUUCUGGUGCUUUCGAAUCUUCUUCUUCUUCUUCUACCUUAUUAGCUAGCUACCCUUUUUGUUUUUGUUUUUCUUUUAUGUUUGUUCGUAGGUGCGUGAUUGUGAAGAAAUGCCGUUAGAGCUCACCUACGAGCAUUAAACACACACUCACUCACUCUCUGUCAUUUGCUCUGCUCAGAACGCUCCAGCAUUUCGAGUCCUGAUUCGGCGCCGUAGCCCUCUCUUAUAGUUCCUUCUGUGCUGUCAGUCUCAAAUUUCAGGUCUUUAUUAGGUACAUUUUUGUUAUUCCGAUUUUUCGAGUUUUGGUGGUGAAUUUUGAUUUGCAUUGUGUCUGUUCAAGCAUGGGAUUUUGAAAUUCUGUAGACCUGCAAGUUUCUAUUGUGGAAAAUUGUGAGCUUUGUUCAUGAAAAUUUUAGAGAUUUAUUUCACAGCUUCUUAUAGAUUUGCUCUAGCUUGCUUCCUCAAUUAUAGGCUUACAAUGCUAUUUCUUCAUUUCCUGUUUUUGUUUGUAAGUCAACGAAUGGGAGCAAUUGUUUGAAUAUAAGAUUAGAAAUGAGGAUUUGUUAAUUUUGGUAAAUGGAAUUGUUAAGUUCAGGAUAGUUAAAGAGAUGGCUUUAGAUCUAAGCACUUAUAUUUUAUCUUUCUUUGCAUGUGAAUAAUUUUGAUUGUGUUUUUUUGGGUAAUGGAUGAUGAGCAAGGUAGUGGACUCAUCUGGGCCAUUAAGGAUGAAAUUAAGAAAGCUGAGAAAGGGAAUUCUUUCAGCAUUUUGAAUGGCAUGGCUUUAAAGCCUUUUGCUUUCUCUUUAGUGGCAAAGAACUUUGCUUUUGCCUUUUCUUUAAUUCUUUAGUAUGUUUCUUUCUGAUGAUUUGGGUUUCUAUUCCAGAUAAGAUUAGGUUAAAUACUUUCUUGAUACUUCUCAACUACUGAACUUAAUUUUUGGCAGUAUCUUUUGAUGCCUUCCUGGUGUCAAUGUUGUAUUGUCUUCUCCCAUAGGAUCCUAGAAAAAAGAGGAAUUGAUCUUUAGGGACAUUUGAAGAGACUUCUUCUAGUUAGGGAGUACACUAUCUAUUUGUUAGUUUCAUAGGUUACUUUCAGUGAACAAGCUAGUGAGCAUAUAUGCAAUUGAGUUCUCCAUUCUCUCUAUAUAUAUAUUUAGCCCCCUUUGCUCACUAGUUGUAAACUGCAAAAAUGACCAAGAACAAUAUUCUUAUUCAUAUGUUAUUUUGCAGGGCAAGUGAGGCUUCUGAUAUGAGUCUCAUAGUCUGAGUCCUUAGCUGAUCUAUCAACAAAAGAUACUAGAUGAAGCCAUAUUUAGUUUGUGCAACUGUUCUUUUUCUGUCAUUCCUUUGCCACUCUAUAGCUGAUCUCAGUUCGGACAAACAAGCCCUUCUUGACUUCAUUUCAGUUGUUCCUCAUGGCCGAAAAGUUAACUGGGAUUCUACUACGCCAGUCUGCAAUACUUGGGUUGGCAUCACCUGUACCUUGAAUGGCACACGUGUGCUUGCUGUUCGACUCCCUGGUGUUGGUCUCUAUGGUCAAAUUCCAUCAAACACUCUUGGCAAGCUGGAUGCUCUCAUGGUCCUUAGCCUUCGCUCUAACCUCCUUAGUGGGAGUCUUCCAUCUGAUAUUUUCUCCCUUCCAUCCUUACGCUACAUAUACCUUCACAACAACAAUCUUACAGGUAGUAUUCCCUCUUCUCUGCCUCCCAACCUCACCGUACUAGAUUUGUCUUCCAACUCUCUCACUGGCAGCAUUCCAGCCACUAUCCAAAAUUUAACGCAUCUCAACGGGCUGAACCUUCAAAACAAUUACCUCAGUGGACCUGUUCCUGACAUAAACAUUCCAAAGCUGAAGUCUUUGAAUUUAAGCUACAACCACCUUAAUGGUUCAAUUCCUCCUCCCCUUGAAAGGUUCCCCACUUCUUCCUUUGAAGGAAACUUGAUGUUAUGUGGGGCGCCACUAAAACAGUGUGCUUCAGUCACUCCAUCACCUUCUCCAUCCCCCAACCGUCAACCACCAGGCUCAAUAGUCCCAUCCGAACCAGAGAAAGGAUCUAAGAUGAAACUAAGUGUCGGGGCUAUCAUUGCCAUUGCAUGUGGUGGUUUUGCAGUGUUGUUUCUCUCAGUUCUAAUAGUGGUGCUGUGCUGUUUGAAGAGGAAAAACAGCAAAGGCGGUGCUAUAGUUAAAACAAAAGGUGGAAGGAGUGAGCCGCCAAAGGAGGACUUUGGAAGUGGGGUGCAAGAGGCUGAGAAGAACAAACUGGUUUUCUUUGAAGGCAGUUCUUAUAAUUUUGAUCUUGAGGAUUUACUAAGAGCUUCGGCUGAAGUGCUUGGAAAGGGGAGUUAUGGGACUACUUACAAGGCCAUCCUAGAGGAGGGGACAACAGUGGUUGUAAAAAGAAUGAAAGAAGUGGUUGUGGGGAAAAGGGAAUUUGAACAGCUAAUGGAGAAUGCCGGGAAAAUUAGUCGGCACUCAAAUGUUGUGCCCCUUCGUGCUUAUUACUACUCCAAAGAUGAAAAGCUCCUGGUUUAUGACUACAUUGCAGCUGGUAGCUUUGCUGCAUUAUUGCAUGGUAUGCUCCAUUUCAUCAUAUUCUUUCUCUUUUCACUUCAUGAAUUUUGCUUUUAGCAUGCAGACAUAAUAAGGAUGCUUUAGUAUAAAAACUAAAAAGUAUAGGAAUUCUUGUAAGUAGGUAUUUAGGAAGUUUUUUACUUUUCGUGGUGCUUGUUACUGUAACAAAUAUAUGCAAAGUAGUCUCGGAUAUGAUAUAUUCUUUCUUUACAGGACACAGGGAAAGUGGACAUAAUGGACCGGAUUGGGAAACCAGACUUAAGAUUGCCCUUGGAAGUGCAAAAGGCCUUGCUCAUAUCCACUCGUCUGGUGGAGGGAAAUUCAUCCAUGGAAACAUCAAGUCCUCCAACAUCCUUAUCACACAAGACCUUAAUGGUUGUAUCUCAGACUUUGGCUUAACACCUCUCAUGAACUUUGCAACUAUACCUUCCAGAAGUGUAGGCUAUCGAGCUCCUGAGGUGAUUGAAGCUCGAAAAUCAUUCCAAAAGUCCGACGUUUAUAGUUUUGGUGUGCUGCUCCUGGAGAUGCUCACAGGCAAAGCACCAGUGCAGUCACCAGGGCGUGAUGAUGUUGUGGAUCUUCCGAGGUGGGUACAGUCUGUUGUUCGAGAGGAAUGGACAGCAGAGGUGUUUGAUGUAGAGCUAAUGAGAUUCCAAAAUAUUGAAGAAGAGUUGGUACAGAUGCUUCAAAUAGCAAUGGCAUGUGUGCAAAAUGUACCAGACUUGAGGCCUACUAUGGAGGAAGUUGUUAAGAUGAUCGAGGAUAUCAGGCCACCGGAUUCUGAGAACCGGCCAUCAUCAGACGAUAACAAGUCCAAGAGCUCAAAUACUCAGACUCCAUGAUUCUCGCAUCAAUAUUCUGAAACUUCUUUCCCUAGAAGCUCCAGCCUGCAUGAGCCAAGCAAUUCAUGAAUCCUUUUCUAACUGUCAUAUAUGCCGCAUUUGUGAUUCUUUGUAGAGCCCUACUGUAAAGGUUCAUAGCGUCUGUUUUUCUUUUUCUAGUGUGAAUUCGUGAUUAGCAUGACAGAGAAGUUUUUAAACAAUUAUGAAGUUUUCAAACAAUUAUGACUCUGAAUCGAUUGAGGUUCAUCCUUCAGCAUUCACAAGAUGUAAACAUGAUUGUAAUUUGUCGGUUACGAAGAAUAGUGUCAUGGUACCUAAAUUGGCAAACCAAAACAUCUGAAAACAUCCAAGCUAAAAACGUUCACAAGCUGAGAAAGAUGGACAUCAAAUAUAAAAUUCGAGUCUUUCCUUUUGUUUCUUCAAUAUUACAUUUUCCAAUAGUUUAACAAUGUAAUGGGGCAGUAUAAAAGGCCCGCCUUGAUCUCUGAAAGAAGUAUUUCAUUCUUUCAACAAAAUAUGGGUUAUGCCCAUGUUGAAAGCUACACGCUAGAGUUAAUACUAACUUUUGCUAAUCAAGUCAGCACCACUGACAUAUCUAGCAACAAAUGACACUAACCGGAAAGGUGCACCAAUAAGGGGAGCAUCUGUAAUUGAGACAGCUUCGUUUGUAACCUCUGUAGCAGACUGCAACUCUAGAUCCUGGACUUCAGAGGCGUCCAAAGGAAUUUGCAUGAUUUCACUUUCCCUGGACUCAUACGAUAUGGGUGAAUUUGGAACUAAUUCAGGAUGCUGAAUAUCCAAAUUACCAUUACUUUGCAAUAAAGCAGCCUGCUGAGAAUCCAUGUUACCGUAACUAGGUGUCUCCACUUUAUGCGGAACAACUUCUGAGGAAUAAAGCUUCUGGCCUGAUGUAGACAUAUCCUCACUGGAUCUGGGCAUGGGAUUGAUGAUAAUGGCAGUUUCACCAGGUAAGACUGCUGUACUUAAAGGAAGCCCACCUUUUGCACUAUGCCGCUCAAGUUCAACAUAUAACUCGUUCAUCUACAAAACAUAAUAGUGCAUAAAAUAACAAAGGCUUAUAAUCUGAUCACUCAAAGGCUCAACAUACAACACAAUUGCAUGAAAGAUAUGUUUGCCUCCAGUUAUAGAAGUAGUACACUUUACUCCGGUAGAAAUUAUGGAGGGGAAGCUUUUCACCUUUUCAACAAGGUCUGCAUUCUCUGUAAUUAAUUUCUCAACCAGUGCACAUGCUGCUUCAAUUUGAGAGUUCAGCUCUUCACGUUCUGCAGCGUGCUGCAUUCAACAGAGAGAAAUAACUAAGACCCAUUUUUCUUCUACUUUCCUUGAUAGUAAAUUGGUAAGAGAUCAACAAAAGAAAGAAACCUUCAGCAGAAACAAUUAAAAAUUAUAUUACUUGUGCCAAAACUGAAACAUAUGUUACUCAUUAUUAUUGAAUAAAUUUUUUUGUACAUACAGUCCUUUGGAAGACACGUCAAAACAGUAUUCCUCAUUGUUCAUAAAAGACAACAAUUAAUUUGGCCAUGUGGUAAGCAAAAAGAAGCUCACCUUUGCACCUUCAACUGAUGCGCGACUAGAGGAAACACUCUCACGAUCCUUAAUUUGCAACUCUAGACUAGAUAAAUUUCCCAUCAGCUGUUGGUUUUCUUGUACAAGAUUAUCCCUGGAUUGCUCCAAUUCCAACACCUGCCAUGCUUUGGUUUUAUUUUCCAUAUCAGAAAAAACAAAGACGUUCUGUGCACUGCUUGUGACAGAUACGGAGGACAGACAGACUCGACACAAACUUAUGUUACAGCAUAUAAGAGAAGCAAAGCAAUACACGAAUUCCUCUCAACUCAAUAAAGUAGGUAGCAUGUAAAAAUCUGGUACAAAAAAAUUAAUUAAAAGUGACCAAUAGUAAAUUAUUUGGAUCAUUCAAGCCACAUACCUGUGCUCGUAGUUUAGCAAUGUUAUCUGUCUGAGUUGCGAUCAUUUCUUUGAAUGAAUCCUGCAAGAAAUAAAUAAAAAGAAGUCUCUGAAACAAAAUGUAUAGAACAUUUACAUAUAAAAUUUAUGUAUCAAAUCAAUAAUGUUAUUCCCAUGCAUUCACCAAUCAUCAUUACAUACGAAGGUAGAAGUCGCAAAAUGUGAUCACAAAUGUGUGUGAGAGCUUUUCAAAAAUCCAAUCUACUACCAUGGUUUAUUAUCAAAUUAGUUGUUUCUUUUACAAGAACAGGGACACAAUUUCUAGUACUUUUCAGGUGUUGAUAAGAAAAAAAAAUAACAUAUGGAAAAAGUUUAUGGCUCAACUGAACUCAGUUUUCAACUACAAUAUACAGUGAACACCAAACAAAAAGAAAAUUCAUAGUAAUUACCUCCUUUAGAUUCCAGUUAUCUCUAUCACUCUGUAGAUGUUUAAUCUUUUCCUGUAAGCUUGCCUGUGCAACAAUAUAUAGUAAGUUUGGCAAAAGCAAAAUAGGAAUGAAGGGCAUCAAGGGAGGCCAGACUAACAAUAGUCUAUGGGAUUAAACAAUAAAAAGGGGGAAUAGUAGAGAGGAUAACCUCUUCAGAAUCCAAAGUGGACUUUUUGUCUACUAAUCGCCUAAUUUUCUCCUCCAACCCAACCUGCACAUAACACACCUUAGCACCAAGUCCACUAGUUUGCGAUUUUGUUCAGUACAAGGUUGCACAAAAAUCUAAAGCAACCAUGAUUAGAUGCAUGCUUGUGAAGAAACUAAUGGUGUCCAAAAUCCACAAUAGCCUUUAUGACCCAACUCAUAUUACCUCCUUUUUGAGCCAGGAAUCUUUUUCACUCCGUAAUUGUACAAUUUCCUUCUGUAGGAUGUUCUGCAGGUGAUCCAAAUAAAUAAAGUAAUCUGUAAUAUAUAUGAAGAAGUACAGGUUUGCAAUAUAAGAUAUAUAGGGUGCAACUGUUAGCUUAUCAUCUUGACUAUACUAUUACCUCUAGAUGAAUAUGUGAAUCAGUUUCCUCCUGUAAUUGUUUGAUAGUAUCUUCUAACGUAACCUGAAGAAGACAUACAUAAAACCAAUACAAAAUGUCACACAUAGAAUGCACACCUGAAAAAGUUGAAUGACACUGUCUCACUCAGGCAUUUGAAUGCGACCAUAAAAUAUAGUACCUCUUUCUGCAUAUGUGCAUCUUUCUCAUCCUGUAAUAGUUUUAUAGUACCUUCUAACGUAGCCUAAAGAAGAUAUACACAUUUCAAUUCAAAACAUCCGAAAAGGCAAGCAAAUAGACACUGAAUAUUCAAGUAUCUCAAAGUUGGAAGCAAAACAAGUACCUCUUUCUGUAUAAGUGAAUCCCUUUGUUUCUGUAAUUCCUUAAUAGUACCCUCUAACGUAGCCUGAAUAACAAAGCAACACCACAAAGUUCAGUAACAUGUUUACUAAUCUCGUACAAUUCUCGGAGUUGAAAAUUACAAUAAUUUACCUCCUUCUGCAUCUGCAAGUCUUUUUCUUUUUCUAAUUGCUUGAUCAUUUCUUCUAGCUUAGCCUACAAAAGAACAUGAUUACUUUUCGCCGAUUAAAACCUGAAACAAACACAAUUGAUUAAGCUAAUGCCCAGACUUACCUCUUUUUGAAGCCAAUCCUUAUUCUCAGAUUCAGCUAAUAACGACUGCACAACCAAAACAAAUUUAACCACAAAAAAAAAAAAAAAAAAAAAUCAAAUAUUUGAAUAUCACAAAAUGCAUGCAGAAAAAUCCAUCCUGUUCAAUCUAGCUCACAAUCGAUCCAAUUCAAACUCAAAUUCUAUAACUAAAUUCAUAAACGAUUUCAAAUCCUAACUUACACGUUCGGUGCCAUUGGUUUCAGCAUUAUCGGCGGGCUUUGGAAAUUGACCGUUGCCGGAAACCUGAACACCGUUGGAGAUAGUAUCUGCAGCGGCGGCGGCGGACGAUGAAACCUGGCCGUUCUCCGCGACGGAAGCAUCGUCGGCGGCGGCCUUUUGGUUCUUCUUCUUCUUGUUGUUCCUCUUCUUCUUCUUCUUAUCCUCCGCCUCCAUUUUUUUUUCAACGGCCUCUGAAAUCCGUCAGCCUCUUUCGCCGCCGCCACAGAAGAAUGAGAAGCCUGCUCGUUCGUUCGGACAGAUCCAAUAUCCGAAUCGUUUCGCUCCGAAUUUAAUCUCUGCGUUUCAGGAAAAGCCGGGAAGGAAAAGGACCCUGGAUCCGAAGCACACGACGUCGUUUUUUUGUGGUGACGUGGUGAUUGGUGGGGAGAGUGUGCUGGAGAGGGAGCAGGGGAUCAUGGCCCUUUUUGGGGGUUGGACAGUUAAAGAAAGUGACGGAAGCGAGUUACUGCGUGACGGAGAGAGGGAGUUACCUGUUGCGGAAAGGGUACGCUGUUAGGUUGACUGGGUGGGACCGACAGGGCAUGUGACCGGGGAACGGGGUCCGUUGAAAAUGGGAGAGCAUGAAUGCAUGAUAUGCGCCGCUGGAAUUUGAGGGCUCUACAGCCUCUCUACCGGUGGAUAUAUGAUUUUAUUCUACAAAAACAAUGGUGAUAAAUAUCUUGUUUUGAUUUACCAAAUUUCUUGAUCAGGCGUGAGAUAUACAAGAUUACAAGUAACAUUUUCAACAUCACUUUGUAUUUUCGUUGCUUAAACAUUUGGGUCCAUAUAUUUUUUUAAUUAUCGGUUUAGAGUUUUAUUUUGUUGAGUCUACAAUUACGGGUUUAAUUAGGUCACAAAUAGUUUAGAUUUGAAUUUUUAUUUCGACCAAAUUAAUAAGUAUUUAUUUAUAUCGUGACUUUCAACCUAACUACAUUUCUUAGAUAUACAUUCUCCACACUCACGUAUUUUAUAUGUUAAAAUUAGCUUACUAUGUUUUGACCAAGUCCAAAACAUUACUUAAUUUUUGAAAACCAUUAUAGUUUGACCAAAUUAUUUGAUGAAAGUACAUAUACUUUGCAAACAAAUAGAUUUAAACAAUCGUGACAAUACCAAACAAAAAAUCGUAUUUCUUAUGAAUAACUUAUCUAGUGGGUCGUCUCAUCUAGCUCAUUUUUGUCCAAAUCAGAUCAGAUGCUACUAUGAACUUUGAAUUUUCACACUUUUUUUUUUUUGGAGAAAUUUUCACACAAAAUUUGACGCAGCCGUCAUAAAUAAUACAAAUCAGGAAAAAUAACGGAUAAGAAAGCAUCAACGGGGUGACGAUGGCACGGUGAAAACGCUUCUGGUCUCACGAUAAAAGGCGCAAAGCCUCGGUGGCUCAAAGUCUCCGAGUUUUGGGUGAGAAAAAAUCAGGGGGGUCUCUUCAAAUUUUGGUGAUAGCGGAAAAGCCUUGGGAGGCGGCUUCGUGGAUCUACUCGAUUCCCGGCUUCCCUUUGCUUCCCGCUAUUCCCGUCCGAUCUCUGGUACUUUCUUCCAGCUCAACCUUUUAUCUUUUAUCUUUUUCUUCUUUUCAUCGGAAAUUGUGCUUGGGAUGUUCAUGAUCAUGAUUAUGACUUUUGAUCUGGAUUGGUUGGUGUGUGAUUAUAGCUUUGCAGGUCUCUGGUGUUGUUCGGGAGUUUUGUAAAAUAGUAAUAAGUUGAGUUUCUGUCAUCAUGGCGUCCAAGCGCAUCUUGAAGGAGCUUAAGGAUUUGCAGAAGGAUCCUCCCACUUCCUGCAGCGCCGGUACGCCUCAAAGAUUUGUUAUUUAGUUUCGGUUUCUUUGAUCUUGUAUGUAUAAAGGAUCGGAAUUUAUCGGUGUUGAUCGUGUACCUAUUGAGCUCAAUUUGGUAGUGUAGAUGUUGGAUUGUGGUUUUUCGAUAUGUUAGGUAGCUAGAUGGAUGUUUAGAGUAAAUUUUUGGUGGAUUUGUAAUAGGUCCUGUGGCUGAGGACAUGUUUCAUUGGCAAGCGACGAUUAUGGGACCCCCUGAUAGCCCAUAUGCAGGAGGUGUAUUCCUUGUGACCAUUCAUUUCCCUCCUGAUUAUCCUUUUAAACCGCCUAAGGUGACUUGUCGAAUCUGCAAGCUUUGAUUUUUUGUGUGUGUCUGUGUGUUUAUGCUUUUCUUUGGAAUGAAGGAUGACAGUUUUUCGAUUUUCAGGUUGCAUUUAGGACUAAGGUCUUCCACCCGAAUAUCAAUAGCAAUGGAAGCAUUUGUCUUGAUAUCCUUAAAGAACAGUGGAGUCCAGCCCUUACUAUCUCUAAGGUUCGGCUUUGUUAUCUUUUCAAUCUCCCAAUGAAUUGGUCCUGACUAUCGAUAAUGUUUGCGUUCGUAUAUACUUUAGAAAUGAUAUGUAUAUGCUGCCUUGAUGCAUCAAAAUAUUAUUUGGAGAAUAGAGAGAGGGAUAUGUUUAAAUUAUUACGGAGGUCUUCCCAGAGAAGUUCUUUGUGGAACAACACAACUCAGAAGACUAUGUGUUCCAACUUGAAGUAGGGAAUUCCUAUGUAAUGAUGGAGAUGCUUGCUUGUACUUUGAAAAAUCAUGUUUUUGGAUUCUAACUUCUUUGGCAUAUAUUCAGAGUAGAAGCAGGUAGCUGUGAUGUGCAGCCUUUCUGCAAUUUGUUGUGCCAAAGUUUUGUUUUGAAGCUAGGAAAGAGUUUUAGCAAAUAUAUACUUAUUCAAUUUCCAUCUGCCUUUAUGUUUUGAGUCAUUCUUCCUAAAAAGACUUUAUAUGUAGUUAAAAAAAUAUUUGCAUAAGAUCUAAUUCAUGGCAUUUCCAGUUCUUACUCUGGAUAUUAGCCACUACAUUUGUGAUAUGACUUGAUAUGUUAUAAAGGAAAUUUGAUGUUGAUUUAGAAACUGAUUCCCCUAAGCUUUUGAGUUUUGGAAUCUAUUUCAACUUUAAAGGGGGGAUAUUUGGUGGCUAAGGAAAUGAAGAUUGUUUUUAUUUUUAUUUUUUAUUUUUAGUAUACUGAAAUUUAUCUUACUGUUGGAUCUGUAUUCACUAAGCUGUUUGUGCAUUUGAAAUCAGGUAUUGCUCUCAAUCUGCUCAUUGCUGACUGACCCAAAUCCUGAUGACCCCCUUGUACCGGAGAUCGCCCACAUGUAUAAAACUGAUCGAGCCAAGUAUGAGUCGACUGCACGUAGCUGGACUCAGAAGUAUGCAAUGGGGUGAUGAUGUCUUCUCCGGGUUUAGAAUUUGUACUUUUUGGGGACAGGGUUAAGAGUUUAAUCUGUGGGAUGAAGGAGAUCUUCGUUCUUCCUAUGUUUUGUUAUAUUACCAAAGAUAUGAAUGUGAUUUAUUUCCGGUAUCGCCAGAACUUGAUGUUCCUUCCAGCUUGGACAGUAAUCUAUCAAUUGUGGUUUGUUUACUCUUGAUCCCCCAUCCACUAAAGAGUUAUUGUUGUUUAACCAUUUCGUUUAGUUCUUACUUCUAAAACAGAACGAAAUGCAGUGCUUUGUUCUUCAACUGUUCAAGUAAACUGUCCAUGCAAUGUAGUCUAGAAAUACAAAUUGCAUGUCUCACGACCGCAAUAAAUAAAGAGAAAAGUGUGAUAGUUAUACAAGACCAUAAUAAAGAGUCACCAUAAUAGAACCCGAUAGCCAUCACACCAAACACUAGCACACGAGUGAAGCGACUAGCCGGUCUGGCUCGACCAGGGUGGUCUCGGUUCAACUGCUGAAAUCGCAAGACUUCUAUUUCAGAAGACGAUAUUCUUCGCAUAAUGUGGUUUUCAGACAACCUGAAGUCUUCCACUCCCCCUUCAACCAAUUGGCCGUAACUAUUUAGACUUCCAGUACUCGUGUCAACUCUAUCCAAAUUGCCAUAAUCUUUCAGAGAUAUCAAGCUCUUGGUAUAACUACAGAUCCUACUAACACUUCCACUCCCAAAUGCUACAACUUUCAUCGAACGACGCUUCAGGUCCAAGAAAAAGAUGUUACGGUUCCCCUGCAGAUGCUUGAAAAAUAUGCCAUGCUCCCAUUCACCACAGAUGAUAUCAUUCGACAAAAAAUUCAAACGCAGUCCAGCUAUUUCAAUACUUAGGGUGUAAUCUCUUGUCCAUAAUCUCUUAUCGUAGUCUUUCUGCACCCACAUCUCAAUAUUCAUAGUCACAUCAGUUGAUGAACAAGUAUCCACUGUGGCCAGAGAUCCUCUUAGAGUAACUAAAUGCAAGUUAGAUAACAAGUGUGAGUGUUCCCAUUUUCGUAACCUGGGAUGCGGAGACGAAUGGAACUCUUCUUUCUUGAAGUCGAAAGAAACUAUAUGGCAUGUUCUUUGAUCCAUAUCUAUUGCCAUCCAGUGCAUAUCUCCAUAAGCAGACACUUCAAAGAGUGUAAGUCAUAAUAAGGAGGAACUGAGGGUAUAUCUCGCCAUGAAGAGGUGCCCAAUUCGAAAACAUGUGUGACCAAAACUUGCUCUCCAAAACUACUCUUAUAAUCGGAACUACCAUUAGAAAUUCUGGAAACACGAACAAUUUUAUAGGUACCAGCUAAACUAUCAAAUCCCAUACCAUAGCAAUCACCCCAAAAUACAACCUUUCUAUCUCGGAUGUCACGGGGUGGAAGCCUCAGAAUUUCUCCACGGAGAGGAUUUAAAGGUCCUAGAGGGAGGGAGGGGGGGGGGGGAUAGGCCUUUUUGAAAUUUUCGUUGCCUUCUGUAUCCGAGGAUAGCAAUGACUUGUGCUAUCCCAGAAUCACAGGAUACGAGUUUGCAGAAAGUAAAUUGCAGCAAAUAAAGAAACAACACAAGGAUGUUUUUUAAUCGCAGAAACCCUGAAUGCAGGGAGAAAAACUGCGUGUCUCUAACUCUUGAGAGACAAAAACUUCCACUAAGUUGAAGUAACUUCUUACAAGAAUAAUAGUUCUAGUGAUACACUACCACAGUGCUAUCCUUCCUAGUCCCGAACUAGUCUAGACCUAUUCCCUCUCUUGUUUCUAAGUUAUUACAACAUGGGACACUUUUCGAAGCCUUGUUCGUGAAUUCAGCUAACCACUAGCAGAUUCAACCUUGAACGCUUCUUGGGUUGGUUGCACUACACAUCCCUCAUGGUAUGCAACAUGAUAUGAGUUGAUGAAAGAAGUUUUGAGUUCAAGCUCUAAGGUUUACAGUCACGAAGAAGACUUAGAGCAGCAUGAACAAUGCAAGACUAAAAACUAGACUCAAACAAAAGAAAACGCAAUAAGGCUAGUUUUCAACAACCAUUGAGCAAAGCCAAAGCUAUAGAUAUAUAUAUAUAUAUAGGCAGACAAGGCAUCAAGGAUGAUGCAAGCUGACCUCAACAUGUUUCAGGAAGGUUUGGACAGAAGUGUUUGGCUCCCAUACUGAAAGUGAUGUGUCCAAACACAGAGAUGACACAAGCAAUCUUAAUAAGACAAAUAACCCUUUCCUAAAACAUGAAUGAUUCAAACAGGGAGCAAAGAGGUUUCAAACCCUCUUACUCAGUCCAUUAGUGGACCUUGACACAGCUGAUAGCAACUGGUAUUUGAACCAUACAGGGACCAGCUUAUACAUCGGAUAACGUAUCAUGAAAUCCCAGCUGGAGCCUUGAGCAUCAAACCAUUUGGUCACGGGUUGGCAUAACAAAAGAUCUCAACCCUUUGACUGGUUUGAGCGCUAAGGCACUUCCCACAAACUCAGUUGUCCAUUUUAUAUUAAACUAAUAUAACAGACUUUGAACCUCAGGACAGCAGAAGACUCAGUACUAGGAUAGCAAGCGAAGCUGCUAACCUCUGUGAAAAACAAUGAUAUGCAGAUGCAUGUUUUACCUGAAACCAUAAGGGAUAUUAGCGCCACUUGUUCUUGAUCAGAUAACAUUAUCUCAAAGUGUUUUGCAGGAUGAAAGGAUUGCCAACUAUCCUUAUACCUUCAGGAUUAACUAAGAAGCAAUGUCCAUAAUACGUAUCUUGUAAAUGUACAUUUCUAAAGCAAAACAAGUUGUAGAAAACGAAGUCUACCUUGUAUUGGUGAUGAUCAUACUGUUCUGAUGUAAACAAGGUAAGUGCAUGUUUUUCUUUUGUCAAGGUUGUCUCGCCAUCAUACUUGAGAGAUUGCAAAGCUGCUAAUUCCUCGUAACCUUGAGGAUCUUUAAAUGUUGGAGGGUUGAAAAAUCUGGUAAAAUACAUAAGUUGAGGCACAUUAUGAGUAGAGGCCACCAGCGACCGGGUGUGCAGCGCAACGAAGGAGUGGCUGUCAACCAUGUCUAACAUUGCCUUGGACACACAUCGGAUGCAGCAGAGUGAUUCAAUUGGCAAUCUCACGAGGAUGUGCACCAAGACAUCCAAAGGUAAGUGUUUGAUAUCCACAUUCAUCACCAUAGGCUUCGCGCUGUUGUUAAUGCAGCAGCAGUCUCAUUGUCAUCUCAAUAUUCCCUAAUGAAUAGAACGUUGCAAUAACAACUCAAAAAUACAGCAAAGGAUUGAAAAAAAAAAUACUGAUUGAAAGUUUCUUCCAAACCAAAAUCUAUGAUCCCCUUCUUUUCGGUUCAAACCCUAAUUUCUUAAUUUGUAACCAAAUAUUUAUCCUUGUACUUCAGAUUCAUAACCAUUCAGUUCUUUUUGAGAAAUCCGCCGGAACUAGGAGACCAUAUUGCAUUACGAUUACCAAAUAAAAUCAGAAUGAAACAAAGUUCGAUACCGCAAUUGAAAUAGGGACAAGUUUUGACUAUUUCAUGAACAAAUCGAAAACUUGGGAUAUUUAUUUUAGUUUCAUACCUUUUCAAAUGAAAUGAUGAGAAUCUCGCCGUUGUCCGCGGCACUCCGAUAUCGUGGUGUUACUAUUCUUCUUUUCCUUGGUUCUCUUGUUGGAUUAUUGGAGUGGAGUGUGGGUACUGGAAACCGAUCGAUAAAAAAUAACUGAAACCCUAAUAUAAAUGUAACAAGUGUGUGUGGAGUGUGGAUGCUGAUGAUGAUGUAGGGUGUGAAAAACAAAAUGACGCGGCAGAGAGGAUUUUAUUUAUUUAUUUAUUAUUAUUAUUAUUUUUUAUUUUAUUUUUUUAACUGAGAAACAUACAACUGAGCAUAAUGAAGAUCUGAAAUAGAAUUUCAAAAACAUCUGAAAUUGUUCCCUAAAAAAGAUGUCCUGCUCCCCAUUUGCUUUCUACCAACGUUUAACCUGCUUGACAUUUGUAAACUGACUAAACUCACAGUCUACCAUGAUAUCAUUGGUGUAGCUUACCCCCAUUUCCUUUCCCUCGAUCGGUACCAUACACUUAUCAAACUAGUCAUACAGAAGACAAGCAAAGAUAUCAUUCCCUCCAAACAUUGAUACACAGGUAACACAGCAAAUUAAACAUUGAUACACAGGUAGCACAACAAGCCAGAAACUUGGCAACUUUGGCCAAUAAAAACAGACAAAAAGAAAAAAUUUCCCAAACACAAAGAAUCUAAAUUCAAAGAAAAAAACUAUCAAUCUCACAAUCAAAGAAGAGGAUGAAGUGAACAUGAUCAUUUACAUUAUUUAUUUUAUUUACAAUGCCUUUAUUUCAUUCUCCUGUGAGAGGAUUGUCGAGGAGGUGGUAUUAUUAUUGAAAAUGUGGAUUCAAGAUUACUCAUUUGAAUUUCAAUGUCUUCAGGUGUUCUCUAACUAGUCUAAUCAUGUCUAUAACAUAACAAGCUGAAGAUUCAAAACAAACAUCCUGACUCUAUCUUCAAUAAAGACCCAGAGGCGUGAAAACCGGCACACCCACCCACUAUUUGCUCUUAAACUUCUCUGGAAUCAGCAGUUUUCCUCUUCAACUAGUAUAGAUGAAAGAUUGAGGUUUGAACAAAACUUGGCACGGCCCAUAAGAAUCUGAUUAGCAUGCUUCCGCUUCUCGUUAUUGUGAGCAGUACCAGAUUAGAAAAAUACCAGAUUUCUGGAUGUAUAGCAGCCAGGGUUGUAAAAGUCUGCGGUCCCCGUCAUCAUCUUCAAUGGCCGUCAUCUUCACAAUGACGGCUCUUCUAGUUCCGACUACUUAACGUAACUUGCAAUCCUAACCUAAUAUGGAUUAUAAUCCCAGCUGUACAAUAACGCAAUUCCUUUGAAAAAAACAGAGUAUUUGUUCUUGCAAUAAGACAUGUAAAGAGCUAGUAAUUGCUGGAGACGGAGUUGGGGGCAGAAAGACUUUAAUAACCGGAAGAUCAGAUUGUGGGAAUAGAAGUGUUGGAAAUUUGAAAUGGGAAAUGGAAAGGACUGCAUGAUAAAAUUUGUAGACUUGACGAUUUAAGGAUGUUUAAGAUUUUUCUAAGCAAAAUUGAGUUUUCUUUUCAUCCUGGACUUCUGGUCUGGUAAAGCUGCCAUGCAUGGCUAAUAGUAAAACAAGGUGGAGAUUAUAUAGCAGAAGAUUACACCAAAUCCUGGUAGUUGGCACAACUCAAGUGGACAGUCAACAAGUGCAGGGAUCUGAGAGUCUGAGUGGUCAAAACUGCUAAACUGCAUGAAAUUUGUGCUUGUUUUAUUUGAUGUCCUAGCUUUGUUACAAAAAUCAGACUGACAAUUUGUUACGUACAAGAUAAUAGUAUCCAAAACAUACAAUGGUACACUUUUGACUACAUAUAAUUUUCAAAGUCGUAUCAAGAGAAAUGUACAAAAACAUAUCUGAAACAAAUUAACAAGAAUCAAAAGAAUGUAAUCGAAAAAUAAUACAAAAAAUUAGAAGCCUAGAUUGAUCUGAUAGGGCUACUGCUCUUUCAAGCCAAACGGAAUCCGGGAGGGCUUGUCGUUGCACCCGGCCAAUAAGCCCAGCCGAUCAAGCUGCUCAGACCUCCGCUCAGCCAAGCCAAAGUUACGUACUUUCCGACGGUGUCUGCGAUGCGUUCGAUACGGGGUUCCGAUAACGGCGUGCCGUUGUCCCUAACGAACUCGUCGUUGACGGGAAGGGGUCUGUCGGGGACGGUGUAUUUGCCGACGGGGAGGCCCAUGUCGGCGCGGUGUCGAAGAGAUGACGUGACGGAUCCAGAGCGGUUGACGACGCCGUUUCUGCCCUUGAUUUUGGAAGCCAUGAUGCUCAGUCUUGCUGCCAUUUACGAUCAAGCGAAGAGCCGAAGAUGAUUAUUGAUCGAGUUUGAGUCGAACCAAAUGGUGUAUAAGGAUAAUAUGUGAGGUAACUUUCUAAGUUUUAGUAGAAUUGAAUGGAAGUCUUAUAUAAGCUGUAACCAUGACUAGAAAUCAAAUUCAGUGUAGAACUAGGAAAUAGUAAUCCUAUAGGAAACAAGUUCUUAUUGAAACAAGAAACCUAAUCCUACAACGUACAUUUAGGAAAAUAAACCUAAGAAUGGUAGGAAAGUGAUGCUAAAAACGACUUAUGCUUACGUGACUCGUUAGUCAACAAGUAAGGGGAUUUGGUUGGUCAACAACUACUCAAAUCUGCCAAAAUUGCAGGAAAUCUCUGCACUUCCAAGAUUUGAUGCUUUUUAGAUGAAGACGAGCCAUAAGCCCGUAUAUUUCUGCACAAUCUGCAUCAAAAUAUCAAUAACCAUUGGUUUGCCUUGACCGAAGCCUCGAAAGGGUUAAUGAAGAACUUAGCAGUGUAGCUUUAAUAUCUCAACUCAAGCUAGAGGUUCUGUUCAAAACUUCAAAUAAGCUUCAUUUUAUGUCUUCAGUAAAUUAUAGUAUGGUAUAUAUAUGCAUCUAAUAAGUUGUUAACUGUUUGACAAAUUUGUUGUUUACAAGUGAAGGUAAGAUUUGUAACGCAGGACUGCAGGCAUGUUUAUUCUUAAAGCAGGUUAGACGGUUACACCACAGACUCCACAGGUAUUCAAGUUUCUGACUAUGACAGAUGAAGAACCAUUUUAUGGUCGUGCAUGUCAGCAUGAGUAAUCAAUAAAUCAAACUCGUAUAAUAACUUUACAGGAAUAUUGAUGCAUGCCUUGAUGAAGAUUAGAACCACACAUAUUCAAAUAACUACAUGUACAAUCAAAUUACAAGUACUAUUGCUUACUUUGAAUCCUAGUUUUCCAACGUCAAAGCCCCUAACCUCAAACUGUUGGUGAACUUGAUAUUUUCAAUUUUAGUCCAAGCGGUUGUGGAUUUGAGUGCACUAAAAAGAAAGUAAAACCACAGAGUAGUUUCUAUUAUAGCCAAUUUCAGAAUUGCUAGCUAUAUCAUUCUUAACUAUGAUAAUCAUCUUCGUUGACAUUCUCCUGAUUGUCUCUCCAUGCAUCAUCUUUAGCAGCUUUGAAGGUGAUAAUUCGCUUCCCCAUAAGUUGGCAUGGUGGACGGGACUUGGGGACUGGAAAGUCAUCUGAGGUCUGAGGAUAGGGAUUCCAGAAACGUUUGUACGACUGGCUAUGCAUAUGUAGAGAACGUCACUGAGUUUCGGGAAGAGGGCGUUGCAAGUUCUUCGUGAGGUGUAGAGAUGCAGAACCAAUUGAAACCCCAGGAUCAGGCAUGUAGAGUUGCUCGUAACUUGAUAUCCUAGCUUAAUAAUGUAGAGUUUUUCAUGACGUUUUUGAAACGUCGUUGAAAGGAUCAGGAAACCACAACUCCAGUAAAGACGGCUCAUUAAAGUCCUAUAUAUCAUGACGUUUUUGGAACGUCAUUGAAAGUUUUUGUGUAGUAGCGAUCGCAGUACAAGAUGGUAUGAAACUUUGCAAACAUGGUACUGGCUAUGGCGGUUCUAUACAAAGCAAGUUAAACUGUUAAAGGGUGUGAUGGCCGGAGAUGGAUAGUUAAUUUGAAGGCGCAAAAAGAAUGUUUAACCGAAUGAUCAGACUGUGAGAAUAGGAGUAUUGAGAUUGGAAAUGGAAAAGUGAAGGUGGAGAUUACACGACGAUAAGAGAAGGGACUUUGAAAUUUCAAGCAAAAGUUGGUUUACGUUUAAGUUUGUGUUUCUGAUAUGGUGCCAUGGGAAAGAGAAGAACAGGUGCAGAUAUUGUAAACGGUUUUACAGAAAGCUUAACGUGGCGAAAUCCUAGUGGCUGGUCAAUGAUCAGAACUGCAAACCGGAGUUGUACUGUGAGUCAAAGCUGCAACACUGCAGGAUAAGAUUCCCCAGGAUUUGAUGCCUAGCUCUUAGCUAGGGUUUUGGGGAACUUAUAAUUGCCCUUUUUCUUUUUCUUUGAAUUAUGUUUGGUGUCUGGUGAACUUAUCGGUGUAGCUACUAAUCCAAAUAGUUGUUCAAUUGAUCGAUUAGCUCAGUUGUAAACAAGUUUCAAUUCCCCUUCUUUACCGGAUACAUUAUUCUAGCUACUACAAGAUGGUUUCUAUUCAAAAACAUGGUUUCUCUUUUUUUUAUUUUUUAUUUUUAUUUUUUAUUUUUUUUAUGAACCAAAGAGAAAUUGAUCGUAAUGUAAAGGAACUUAUGGAGGUAAAGAAAUAAGGAAUUGUUUAUGUCUGUGGGAUAAAGUGCUACAAAUUCUUAGCACAUACUGAAAAAGGGGAUAUGGAAAGAAAUGAACAUGCUUAAGCCACCAGGUUAUGUGGUUCCGAGUUGUAUAUGGAAGAUCAUGUUAUUAAGGCCUUGAGCUUUUAGAGUUGCCUGAAAAAUGCGAAACUAAUUAGUUCAAGACCAAAAUGGACGGCUGCAAUACAAUAGUUGUAGAUUGUAUGCAAUCACACCUGCGUUUCACCAGAUCGGACAGGCCAAAGUAUACAGCCUUCAAAUAUGAAUCUCUAUCCUUUUAUAUAAACAGAACGUUCAAAUCCAGAUAUUGAUAACACUUGAUGAAUACACAAAGGGAAAGAAAUGCACAGUAGCAACAACCAAAUGCUAGGAGAGAAAAUGCAACAGUGUUACAUAGAUGAACAUGUAAAAGAUUUUGCCAAACUUAAAUGUGUUAAGCUUAAAAACUUUUGAUCCAGCAGAGCUAGCAUAUAUAGUACAUUGUUCUGGAAGUUGUAAAAUAUUAUCUUGCAAAUGUUGUAUGGGAGAGUACACUCCCGCUCUAUAGCAAGUUGUUGGUGCCGAUUUUAGCACCAAUGGGUCAACGAGAGUUUCAUUGGAUUCCAACGUGUAAAGUGGUGGGGUUGUUCUCUUGUAGUGGACAUAUCUUCUCCUUCGGUUGGUUUGACCAUAUGCGUGGUCCUGGUCGUCUAUCUCCAGUGGUCUCAUUUCAAACUUCCUUAGCCUAAUGUUGAGCUUUCACGCUCCACAUACUUGAUGGGUUCACUUCAUCAACUCCUUUGGUUGACUUUCUCCACUCAUUUGGUGAACUUCCUUCGGCUGAUGUUGUGCCUUCACGCUCCACUUGAUGGUGGGCUUCAUCGUCGACUCUUUUGGUGGACUUCCUCCACUCCUUUGGUGGAUUCCCUCCACUCCUUUGGUGAACUUUCUUCGGCUGAUGUUGGGCUUUCACGCAUGUACCACUUCGUGGUAGACUUCCUCUCCUUGAAGAUGAGCUAGCUCCCUCCACUUCAUUGGUGAACUUCCUCCACUCCUUUGGUGGACUUCAUUAGGCUGAUGUUGAGCCUUCAUGCUCCACUUCGUAGUGGGCUUCAUCCACUUCUUUGGUGGGCUUCAUCCACUCCUUUGGUAGACUUUCUUCAGUUGAUGUUGAGCCUUCACGUACCACUUCGUGGUGGGAUUCCUUUCUUUGAAUGUAAGCUAGCUUCCUCCACUUCAUUGGUGGACUUCCUCCACUCCUUUGGUGGACUUCAUUCUGUUGAUGUUGAGCCUUCAUGCUCUACUUCAUGGUGGGCUUCAUCCAUUCCUUUCAUGGACUUCCUUCAAUUGAUAUUGAGCCUUCAAGCUCCAUGGGAAUUUCGUGGACUUCCUUCAAUUGAUAUUGAGCCUGCAAGCUCCAUGGGAAUGACCUGCAAAUAUGAAGCAAUAGAUGGUUAUCAGAGGACCAGCCUAAGGCUGGUCAAACACUCUCCAACGCCUAAGUCAUUGAAGUGUUUGAACAUUAAGUAGAGAUUGGAGAAGAAUGAAAUGUGCUCAAGCAACAUGAUAGUGUGAAAGAAUGUGAAGAUCGAGAUGAUCCUAGCAAUAGAGUAAGAACUAUGUAUUUUGGCAUGGGGCGAUGGACUCCUAGCACGCCAACAGAGAGAGAGAGAGAGAGAGAGAGAGAGAGAGAGAGAGAGAGAGAGAGAGAGAGAGAGAGAGAGAGAGAGAGAGAGAGAGAGAGAGAGAGAGAGAGAGAGAGAGAGAGAGAGAGAGAGAGAGAGAGACGAGAGUGAGAGAGAGAGAGAGAGAGAGAGAGAGAGAGAGAGAGAGAGAGAGAGAUUGUGUAGGCAUAAUUGGGAAAGAAGAGAGAAAAAAUGAAGUUUCUCCUUCAACCUUGAAAGGGUAGUAUUUAUAGAAGGAGAGAUUGGUAAGGUGGAAAAAGAGGUAUGGGCAAGGGAUGAGUAUGACAAACUGACACUCCAAGGGAUGGUCGAUCUGACAAAGUAGGUAACUGACCCCAUGUGAUCUGAUAGAGUUGGUGAAAGGUUAGGACACGUGUCGCGCGCAUGUACGACACAUUCUUCCUUGAAUCACUCUUAGACAUGCUUAGGAGACAUGCCUGGUGACGACUACUAGACGUCUUAGAAAGAGCUUGAGGGUUGAGGCUCUUAGGUCUUAGAGGUCAAACUCGUGGCCUUGGAAGUUUAGGCUCAUGGUUAAGUCAUGAUAUGUUAUAAUCUUAUCAUGCUGAGUAAAAGGUGAGGUAACCACUUGGUGAUAAUGUUGGUGAGCCGUGGCGUGGUUGGUUAAGGUGGUUAACUAAUAACUUUGACGUCAUGGGUUCAAACCUCAUUGAUAUAUGUAGGGUGUGUGAAUUAUUUAAUAAAAAGUUUAUAAAAAAAAACCACUUGGUGAUAGUCCAAGUUACUUGGUGACAUGCCAAGACGCUUGGUGAUAGUCCAAGAAAGACUUUGAAUGCUAAGUCAGACAUCUCACUAUUAUUUACGUGUGAGGAUCAUCUCUGUUUCUCGAAUAAAGAUUUGAGUGUGUUGAAAGGUUAGUUUCCUACGUGGCUCUUUGACAUUUUAACGUUUCCUACGCGGAAUGGGUUGAAAAUCAAGUUUUGUUGUCGAACCAAAUUAUUUCUUUGACAUUUCAACGCUUCAUACGCGGAAUGAGUUGAAAAGUCAAGUUUUGUUGUCGAACCAAAUUAUGACAUCAACACAAGUAAAUUGUGCAAUUGAAUUGUCGUCACUAAAUCUUAUAGGACAACUACAGAAGAAAGAAAGAAUGAAGAGAAUCUCCUUUAAGAAUAUAAAUACGACACAUCAUAUAUCCACUCCUAGGAAGAACUUCCAUCUGGUAUAUAUCAAAGACUUUCAGUGACAUUUUACAAACAAGGUUGUUUUCGCAACUACAUUUUCUCUAGCUAAAAUGCACGAAUAUACCAUAUGUAAAAAAUUGAGUACAUCAGAACAUAAGCUUAAAAGUUAAAACUUUAAGACAUACACAUUUGAGAAAUAUUGGACACAAAAAAUUAAAGAUCUUCAAGUAGCAAAAUCAAUUUAAUGUUAGUGAUGUUACACAUGUACAAAGGGAAAUCAACGACUAAAUAGAGUGGAUAUGCCUUACAUGUAAAAGUGACCUAGAUGUAGUGGCUCACCUGCUUCUCAAGUCUUCAAGGAAUGUUGGUAGUCACAUUCGGUUUGUAACAAGUCCCGAACUUAUAAUGAAUAUCAUUCGGAGUAAUUAUAAUUAUUACCUACUUGUUCGAUAUUUUAGUGAAAACUAAAAAGAACUCAAAAACAAUCUAAAUUCAAUAUUUAAGGGAAGACACAUGUAUGUGAAUUAUAACAAAUACCCCAAACUUGAAUUUUGGUUGUCUUCAAGAAAACUAACACCAAACCAAACCGACACAACAAUAUAAACAACACUACCUAAUCCUUCCAACAAGAUUCUUAAAGAACCACCAUAGUUAUACGACAUUAAAAUCAAGCUAGGUCUCAAAAUUUCAUGGAUUAUUGAUCAAAUGUUUGUGUUUUGAGAUGUGUACAAUGCAUCUACUAUGUCAUAUCAAUCUACCAAAAUCGAGAAUGUAUGUCAAGCCAUGUUAACCAUAAACUCACACGAUGUAGUCCUAAAAUUCUUCUGCGUUCUUUAUAUUUUUUGAUUUGUUCUUUCAAUUUCAAUAAUCCUUGAUUCCUAUCAUGGUAUUAGAGCCCAUGGUAUCUGAUCUGGUGCCUUGUGGCUUCUGUUUAUCUUCUUCCGCUUUCGCACUUUCGAUUUCUUCGAUUUAGUUUUUCCCAAAUUGAAAACCCUAGCCUAUAUUGAGCUUAGAUCAGAAAUUGAUCGUCACCGCCUAGCCGUCGGUCUUUUCUGGCCUCUCCGGUGUGACGCUCUAUGGAUCGGUUCGGCGUUCAUGUUCUCGAUGCAUCGUUGGUCUCUGCUUCUCUCUAAAAUUUGAAUAUAUUAUUUGAGUUUCUGUCACUGUGCGUAUGAGCUUCUGUGACGUCAUGGGGAUGUAGAGCAUAUGGAUUGGGUAUAUUGCAUAUAUCUUGUAUAUGGAUUAGAAGUGUCACUGAAACUCAGUUGUUGAGUAAGCAAAGUUAGAAUACCGUAGCCAACAAUGUCACCCAACUGGCCAGUAAGUUCAUUACAGCUCACCUGGUGAGUAAGCAAACUAAGAAUCUCAUAGCCGUCAAGGUUAUUGCAGUUCAAUUGGAAGACAAUCAUCCCGUGGUUCCAGACAUUAUUCACACUGUUGGUGCCCAAUUUGAACUAACAUUGCCACCUCUCACUGAAAAAGACCCUUGGAAAUGGCUCAAGCUGAUGAUGAUGGUUGUUCUUCUGUCAAUCAUUUUCCUGGUGGCGAAGUGCAUCUGGGGAUGGAUCCGUAGGCUUCUUAAUUAGAUAGUUUAUUGGUUCUUUGGUUUGCAACCAGUAGGAGCAGCAGGAGAAGCAGACAAUGUCCUCAUGCCUAGAUGGAAGUACUACAUCAAGGGGAUCUACAGCAUCCAAGGUCAAGGUGUCUGGAUGGAAGAACUUAUGCUGUAUAAGUGAGGCAAAUACCACAUCAGAGCAACCAGCAACAGACAAUGGCUUAUGGAACAAGGUCAUAAGAGUGUUUAAGAAUAACAAAACCAUUACAGUUUAGCAAUGAUACCAUGCAAAUUUUUUCUCCUCCAAAUGCAGAUAGCCUUAUGGAAUUGUCGAGGGAGUUCUCGUCCAGGUUUUCUAAGUCAAGGCCCUUUUUAACAGAACUUCUCUUGCUAUGGAUAUGUUUUGAUUUUUGGACACUAGAUUAGAUGAUUCUAGUGCUUUGUUUUUAACAGAACUUCUUUUGCUAUGGGUGUGUUUUGAUUUUUGGACACUAGAUUAGAUGAUUCUAGUGCUUUGUUCUAGGUUUCCUUUUAAAGGUCCUAGAGGGGGUGAAUAGGCAUUUUUUGAAUUUUCGUGGACUUAUGUAUCCGAGGAUAGCAAUGAUUUAUGUUAUCCCAGAUCCACAGGAUCCGAAUUUGCAGAAAGUAAAUUACAGCAAAUAAAGAAACAACACAAGGAUGUUUUUUACUCGCAGAAACCCUGAAUGCAGGGAGAAAAACUGCGUGUCUCUAACUCUUGAGAGACAAAACUUUCCAUUAAGUUGAAGUAACUUCUUACAAGAAUAAUAGUUCUAGUGAUACACUACCACAGUGCUAUCAUUCCUAGUCCCGAACUAGUCUAGACCUAUUCCCUCUCUUGUUUCUAAGCUCUAACAACAUGGAAUACUUUCAGAAGCCUUGUUCGUGAAUUCAGCUAACCACUAGCAGAUUCAACCUUGAACGCUUCUUGGGUUGGUUGCACUACACAUCCCUCAUGGUAUGCAACAUGAUAUGAGUUGAUGAAAGAAGUUUUGAGUUCAAGCUCUAAGGUUUACAUUCACGAAGAAGACUUAGAGCAACAUGAACAAUGCAAGCUUAAAACUAGACUCAACAAAGAAAACGCAAUAAGACAGUUUUCAACAACCAUUGAGCAAAGCCAAAGCUAUAGAUAUAUAUAGGCAGACAAGGCAUCAAAGAUGAUGCAAGCUAACCUCAAUAUGUUUUCAGAAAGGUUUGGACAUAAGUAUUUGGUUCCCAUACUGAAAGUGAUGUAACCAAAUGGAGAGUUGACACAAGCAACCUCAAUAAGACAAAGAUACCUUUCCUAAAACAUGAACGAUUCAAAACAAGGAGCAAAGAGGUUUCAAACCCUCUUACUCAGUCCAUUAGUGGACCUUGACACAGCCGAUAACGACUGGUCUUUGAAUCACACAGGGACUAGCUUUGUAUUGGAUAAUGUAUCAUAAAAUCCAAGUUGGAGCCUUGAGCAUCAAACCAUUUGGUCACGGGUUGGCAUAACAAAAGAUCUCAACCCUUAGGCUGGUUUGAGCGCCAAGGUGCUUCCCACCAACACAGUUGUCCAUUUGAAUUUGAAAAUCAACAAAGACCUAAUUAACUAAUAUAAUAGGUUAUUUGAAAAUCAGAACAGCAAAAGACUCAGUACAAUGAUAGCAAGCGAAGCUGCUAACCUUUGUGAAAAACAGUGAUAUGCAGAUGCAUGUUUUACUUGAAACUAUAAGGGAUGUUAGUAACACUUGUUCUUGUUCAGAUGCCAAUAUCUCAAGGUGUUUUGCAGGAUAAAGGACUGCCAACUAUCCUUAUAUAUACCUUCACCUUUUGUAAGUCUUUUGUGGUUGCUUCUAAUGGACAAUAUGGUGGUUUAUGUUUGCUUUAGAAUGAAUCUUCUUUUGCUUAAAAAAAAAAAAUAAAAAAAUAAAAAAACUCACAAGAUACUUACUCUAUUUUUUACAUUAGUGCUUAUGGGUUAACUACACUGCACUUCAAUCAUAUCUCCACUUAUCAAACAAAGACACAUUUUGAAUAAAAAAAAUUACUUUUAUUGGAUAUAAUGAGGCUUAGGGUAAGGGUUAAAGCAAUGAAAUGGCAUGGAAUGAAAUAAAAAAAUUUCAAACAACUUAAUACGCAAGACGAACUUAAGAUCUAAAGAUGCCAAUGAUUUUCAAAUUUUUAAACCACUCCCCCAAACUUCAAAGAAAACUAAAAUUGAAUUUCAAAUUUUUUUUUUUGAAGAUUGAUCUUUUUCCUGUCUCAUAUUUUUGUGCUCUCAGCAACUCCAAGAGAUGACCUUUGGAUGAAAGAGAUUUUUUUUUUCUUAACUUUUUUUUCUUCUCCUUUAUUCUUUUUGUAUUUUUCUCUUACAACUAUAAAGAAGACUAUGAAAUUGAAAUUGCAAUGAAGCAGUGAAAUUACACUCCUACACUUAUUCUUUUUCGAGUACCAUUAAACUUAUUUAUUUAGCAUUAUGACAUCAACAAUCUCGUGUUGCUAAUUAAGAAGUACACCCCUACGUACUUAUUCUUUUUCGAGUACCCACCAAACUUAUUUCUUUAGCAACAUGACAUCAACAAUCUAGUGUUGCUCAACAAUAUCAGAGUAAUUGUAAUUAUUAACUAGUUAAAUAUUUUAGGGAGAGCUAAAAUGAACUAAAAAACAAGCUAAAUUCAAUAUUUAGAGAAGACACAUAUAUGUAAAUUAUGGUAUAAAAAUACCUUAAACUUGAACUUUGUUUGUCUUCAAACAAACUAACAUCAAACCAAACUGACACAACAAUAUAAACAACAUUACUUAAUCUUUCUAACAAGAUUCUCAAAAAACCACCAUAAAUUAAAGCAUUGAAAUCAAGCUAAGUCUCAAAAUUUCAUGGAUCAUCAAAUAAAAACUUUACAAAAAAACAAAGCUUCAUAUCCCCAAACUUAAAUAUAACAUUGUUCACAAUGUUACAAUGGGGCUCUUAAAUGAUCAUCAAUGGAAAAUUUAAGCAUGGAUAAAGUAAAACUAAACAACACAACUAUGAAAACAAAUAACACAAAACACAGAAUGUGGCUCGGGAUGUAGUUUGAUAUAGAGAUGACAUAGUUAAUUUAAUACGGUUAAACAAAUGUGUUGAUAGUCUAAAGCCUUAGAAACGUCAGGAGGGGGGGGGGGGGGGGUUUGCAAAAAACCUUAAUAAUGUGUUAGGGGGUGAUGAUGAUGUUCCCGAUGAGUUUUGACUGAAGAUUACGUUUACUUGUCGAUUUCUUUUGAUCCUUGAAUGCGGAGAGUCAUUGGCAAUGAACCAAAUGUUGUUUCAAUGGGGACUAAGACGUCUGUCAGUGAAACCAUAACAGGAGAAGGGGGAAAUGAGUUGAGAAUCUACCACAAAUUCGGCCAUAGGAAUAAUAAGACAACCAAUCAAAACAAGUGGUAUUUGAAUUUGUGUUACAGGGUAAAUCAAAAUUGGGCGGUAGUGAGAUUCUACGAAGAUAGCAGAGGUUUUGAUUAUACACCCCCCGCAGUGCCGGUCGUUCAGCCUCUCCAAAUUCAACAUAGCGAGCAAUUUGUAACUCAUACUGUUUUGCAGGCCCGGGCAAAUAACAACCUACCUUGAUUGGAAUGAUUUGAUAGAUGUAAUCGAAAAUCUUUAUUUUUCAAGAAAAUUAUGGAUUUGUAAUUUGAGACUUUGUCAAGAAUAUUGGAUGAUAUAUGUAAUUUGGAUGAUCCAAGUAUUAGAUGGUUUUCAUAAUCCUAUUAAGCCAUCUAACCUUAAGUUUUGGAACUAGUAGAAAAAAAAAGGCUUAAGCGACGGGUACUUUCAUAUUUCGUCGCUUAAACAGUUCCUAAACAAUGAAAAACGAUUAUCAUUGCUCAAAAUACAUUUUCGGUUGCUACAAUUUUCUGGGGCGACAAAAUGUUUUUGUCGCCUAAACUUCGUCGCCAUAGGUCCUACUAAGGCAACAACAAGGAUUUUGUCAUAAAUUAUUUAUGUAGCGACGAAAAUGUUAACACUUAAGCUGCGAAAAAGUUUGUCGCAUGAUAUCCUUAACCUAACUGACAAAUUUAUGUUUCGUCGCUUCACUUUUGAGCGAUAAAAAUGUUUGUCGCAUGAUAUCCUUCACCUAACUGAUAAAUUGACUUUUCGUCGUCUUAGGUUAACACUAAAGCGACGAAACGUUUGACUUUAUAGCGACGAAAUUGUUUGUCGCAUGAUAUCCUUCAACUAACCGACGAAUUGACUUUCAUCGUCGUAGGUUAAGACUAAAGCGAUGGAACUUUAAGUUUAGAGCGAUGAAAGUGUUUGUCGCAUGUUAUCUUUCGCCUAAGCGACGGAACCUUUUGACUUUAGCAACAAAAUAUCUGCACAGAUCAAUCUCGCAAAUCUCUGGCUUAUUGCAUACAAAGUAGUGAAAUUACACCCCUACAUUUAUUCUUUUGUGGGUACUAUCAAAUUUAUUUAUUUAGCAUUAUGACAUUAACAAUCUCGUGUUGCUUAUUAAGAAGUACACCCCUACGUACUUAUUCUUUUUCGAGUACCCACCAAACUUAUUUCUUUAGCAACAUGACAUCAACAAUCUUGUGUUGCUCAACAAUAUCGGAGUAAUUGUAAUUAUUAACUAGUUAGAUAUUUUAGGGAAAGCUAAAAUGAACUAAAAAACAAGCUAAAUUCAACAUUUAGAGAAGACACAUAUAUGUAAAUUAUGGUAUAAAAAUACCUUAAACUUGAACUUUGUUUGUCUUCAAACAAACUAACAUCAAACCAAACUGACACAACAAUAUAAACAACAUUACUUACUCUUUCUAACAAGAUUCUCAAAAAACCACCAUAAGUUAGAGCAUUGAAAUCAAGCUAAGUCUCAAAAUUUCAUGGAUCAUCAAAUAAAACUUUACAAAGAAACACGGAAUGUUACAAAUGUUCACAAACUUAAAUAUAACAUUGUUCACAAUGUUACAAUGUGGCUCUUAAAUGAUCAUCAAUGAAAAAUUUAAGCAUGGAUAAAGUAAAACUAAACAACACAACUAUGAAAACAAAUAACAUAAACACGGAAUGUGGCUCUGGAUGUAGUUUGAUAUAGAGAUGACAUAGUUAAUUUGAUACGGUUAAACAAAUGUGUUGAUAGUCUAAAGCCUUGGAAACGUUAGAGGGGUUUGGUCAAAAAAAUUAAUCUUAAUAAUGUGUUUGGGGGGUGGUGAUGAUGUUCCUGAUGAGUUUUGACAGAAGGCCAUGUUUACUUGUCGAUUUCUUUUGAUCCUUGAAUGCGGAGAGAGAGAGAGAGAGAGAGAGAGAGAGAGAGAGAGAGAGAGAGAGAGAGAGAGAGAGAGAGAGAGAGAGAGAGAGAGAAGAGGAUAAUAUUCAUCUUUUGUGGAGGCAGACAUGGUAGUAAUGGUAGUACUGCGAUUUUUAUAAACAAUUCGAAGGGGAAUAAAUUAAGGAAUAAAUAUUCGAAUGAAAAUAAACUUUUACGAUACAUUGAUGUAUUUAUGUAGAUUACAUCAAUAUUUUGAUUUGUUACAUAGAUUUAGCUCGGAAUAUAGUUUGAUGUUGAGUUAGAAUAGUUAAUUUGAUACAGUUAAACAUAUGAUGUAAAAAAUGGAUUAUCUUAUUCUACUUGGUUUGGAUGACUUGACAUUUUCAAUCCAAUGUCAAUGAGUGUGACGGAAGACCCUUUUUAGAAUAAAAUUUUGUCUUGUUCAUGAUGGUUUCUUUUGGGCCUUUUUUUCUCUCUCAUCUCAUCUCAUCUUAUUUUCUUUUAUAUAUCUUUACACGUCUCCUAUCUUUUUAUUAGUUAGCCUUUUAUCCUUGCAUUAACACGGAAGUAGAAACAUCUAGCAAGUGUGGGUGAUUAAUUUUGGUUUGAUAUUGAUUUUUUUAUAUUUAGAAUAAUCAGCUCAUUACUUAGUUUAUAUAUCCCACUACAAUGUCACUAUUAAACUUUAGUAUAUGUUUUCUAAAAAUUAAUGUUGUUUUACAAGAAUCUGGAUGAACUAUAUACAUAAAGUUUUUACUAUCUUCCUUACUUGCACAUAUCAAACAUUCUCGAUCUUUCUUAAUGAUACUGUCAACCCAUGAAAAUGCAAGUUUUUGAUAGUUAGGUAUGAAAAAUAAAAAUAGCAUCAUAGUUCGGAUGGUGUUUUAUAAUUGAUCCUUAAUGAUAAGAGAGUCACAAACAUUGGAAUCGUUAGUCUAACAACCUCAUAGACAUCAGUCUCCACAAAAAUAGGCAGAAUUCUUAUGUCUUGAGCAAUUGAAGACUAACCUCUAACUCAUCUAAUAAAGCGGAAACAAACAUUCAAUCUAAAACAUGUCCAUGCCACUAUAUGAUCAUCCGAGUCCUCCAAAAAAUCUUUAUCAUCAUUAGCCUCAGCCACUGGUAUACCCCCAGUUUUGAACUUAACCGGAAUCUCAUUAUACUUUAGAUGACUAUAUUUAUACAUCUAUCAAUGUCAACGCAUACGAAUAACGAAUUUCUAAGAACAACUUGAAACCAAAUUUGAAUUUGCUUUGUAGAUUGACAAAAGUUGUUUUCUGAGUUUCUCUUUCCUUGACUAAAAUCUAUUUAUAGUUAUUAAAAUAUUAUUGUUUGUUCUUCUCAAUGAUCAAUUCAAUCAACAACUUGUGUUAGCAAACUUGCAGGUGAUCCUUUCUUCUUCUCUUUUUGGUUAUAUAUUCUACUAAACUUCACAAGUGUAUGUCUACCAACAACUAUAUGGAUCGAGGAAAUAAGAUUGAGUUAUGGAAAAUGCUAGGAAUAGAGGAUUGAAGAGUGAGAGAUUAAAAGUUUUAUAGCUAGACAUGGACGACGAGCACGAGUGAGUUCUUGACAAUGUUGAAUGGUUCUCAUUGGGUAGAUCAACUUUUUUUCAUAGUUCACGUCUGUUAAUCUCCAAAAAAAUUAAAAACACUUACAUUCGUUUUCAAUAAUUAUACGGAAGAUCGGAGUUAUAUCUUAAAAAUUGUCUAUUAUGUUUUCAAGAUUUAAGUUUUCGAACUCGUAUAUAUUAUAUGAGAAAUUUUAAAUACAUACCCCUUGCUUAAUACACCCCUCAUCUAGUUUUUCAUUUCAAAAUUAAACUUAAUACACAUCUCAAACUGCCUAUAAUACCUUUAUAUCUAAAACUAAGAAAUAAUAUGUUAUUUAGUAUAAUUAUUAUAAAUUUACUAUAUAUUUUGGUAACUCUUUUAUGUAUUUUUUUCUAUUUUCUACUAGAAAUUUUUUAUUUACAUCGUCAAAUUUAUAAUCAAAAGACUAUUAUUACACAAACUCCAAAUCUCCGAUGCGACAUCAAUCAUUUGGAAUUCAAAAAAAAUAUCAACCAUUUCAAGUUUUCGAAAUUCACAGGCUAGUAGAAGUACACUAGGUCCCUAGCUAUUAAACAUAUAUACCUACUUUUUUCAAUACAACAUGUCAAAAUGAACAUGUAGUACUUCAAAAUGGUCUGCAAGAUCAAACUAAUACAAAAAAAAGAACUAAUUUCAGUUUACCCCCAUCAACUUUAGGUCGAUCAUCAUGUUAGUCCUUCUUUUUCAAUUUCAUCAAAAACACCCCUUAACUUCCAAUUUUCAUCAGCCGCGCAUGUCCAAACCUCUAAUCUCUAUCCAAUUCCUUUGUCAAGUGAUGACUUGAUAUCAAUAAGAAAGAAAAAAGGAAAAAUAGACAAAUUGCAUUCAAUCCCACUAAAAUCACUAAGGUUAGGGGGUUGUGAUGGGAACGAAGAUGUGUAUCGAUAUGGGGGAAAAAUGGUCUGAAAAGUAACUUUCAGAAUUUGACUUUCUUCUUGAUAUCAAGUCAUCACUUGACAUAGGAAUUGGAUGGAUAUUGGAGGUUUGGACAUGCGCGGCUGAUGAAAAUUAGAAGUUGAGGGGUGUUUUUGAUGAAAUUGAAAGAAGAAUGACUAACAUGAUAAUUGAUCUAAAGUUGAUGGGGGUAAACUGAAAUUAGUCCAAAAAGAAAAAGAAAAAAAGAGACAGAACCCAAAUGAACCGAUGUUAAUUGAAUGAUACAUGUGGUAGCACUCGAAAUUCGGGUCAUGAAUUCUAAAAGUAGUUUUUUUUUGGUUGCGUAUGAAACUAUGAAUUGUGGAGAAGAGUCAAGUUUAGGGAAGAAGUAGUUGUUUCAAUGGUCUUAGGGUAGGAGAUUAGAUUUCUAAUUGUGAUUUCCUUUUCUUUUUUAAUAAUAGAUGUCUGUUUUAGUCAUUAAACAUGCAUAAAAUAUUUGAUGUGAAACAUAAAUUAAUACGAGUGUGUAUUAAGAGAUUAGGGGUGUGUAUUUAAAAGGAGAAAUUAUUGGUCACUCCAUUAGCUUUCAUGCGCUCGACAGUUUACUCCAUUAACUUUCAAUUUCAAUCGAUUACUCCAUUAACUAUCCAAUGUCACACAAUUUGGUCCAUCCGUUAAGUCGCCGUCCAAAUCAGUGGUUAAGUUGCUGACUGGACAUAUUUUUCAACUGAAAAUUCCAUUUAACACCCCACCUNNNNNNNNNNNNNNNNNNNNUAUAAUAGGCUUUGGUUCAUAAACUUUUGUUGGAUUUGAGUGAGUGGAAAGUGAAGCCAAAACCACAGCUUACUUACUGUUUGGGAAGCCAUGGCUGGCCAAAGAGAGAGAGAGAGAGAGGUGGGGUGUUAAAUGGAAUUUCCAGUUGAAAAAUAUGUCCAGUCAGCAACUUAACCACUGAUUUGGACGGCGACUUAACGGAUGGACCAAAUUGUGUGACAUUGGAUAGUUAAUGGAGUAAUCGAUUGAAAUUGAAAGUUAAUGGAGUAAACUGUCGAGUGCAUGAAAGUUAAUGGAGUGACCAGUAAUUAAUUCUAUUUAAAAUUACUUGUAUUAUAUUGAUCUUGGUUUCAUAAUACAGAAAACAGUUUUGUAAUCAUGUAUCGAACAUGCCCUAAAUAAUAGGAAACAUCUUUGAUUUUCUUCUUUGAACAAGUUGCCUACACAUAUUAGACAUAGAAUCUAAGGUGUGGAAUGUUUGAGCCUCUGUCAUAUCUUUCUUAUAUGAUGCAGUGCAAAGGGGUUAACUCAUUUGGAAUUUCAAGGAGUCCAUAUUUAAGUUUAAUUAAUAUUAUUAUUUCAAAAUAUGUCUAUUUACUAAACUUGUUGAAUGAGUAUGAUUUAAUGUGGGAUUGGAAAGUGGGUAUUCUAGAAUGUAUUAGAAGAAAAGGGGGAUUAUGCAUUGUAUUAGUAUUUACUAGAGGGUUGAGUUAGCUCUUUAAAAGGGACAUCCAUGUAUGAGAAAUAUAGACUUUGUUUAUGAAUAUUUCUAUUAAGAAAAAUAGAGCUUUACUCUUUUUAUCAAUCUCAUUUCUUUAUAUGUGUCGUUGUUCUAGUUAUCAUCCUCUACUGAUCCGUUCCCGCAUCAUUUGGUACUAGAGCCACGCUACGCUCUUUGGGUUGCUUCCACUAAUCUCAUGGCGGUAAGAAGAGGUGGAGGAAAGCGUGGAAACCAUAUGAAAGAUGAGAAAUCAAUAGGUGAAGAACUUCAUGCACUUCGAAGAAAAGUUGAGAGAAUUGCCUUGCUAAUUGAAUGCCUAGAAGCUCGUAAGAAGCAUGGUGGAUCAAGAAGCGGGUAUCCUUAUCAUGAGACCAAGACAGAGAUACGAUCAAAUCAUCGACGUCGUCCAUCUCAAAGGUCUAAGAAUCACUUGUGGAAGGUUGGAUCAUCAAGAUUUCAAGAAUGGCUUGAAGUUGCAAGAGGCACUUAUGCAAAGGAAUGCGAGGUUGAAGAUGUUGAAGAUCUUGAGAUGGAGGUCAAAGAAUUCAAUAGGGAUUCAAAUAUGAAGGUAUGUCAUUUGUUUCCUUUUGAGUUAGAGAUUGAGCAUGGAGAUAAUAUUGAAGUAGAUUGAAAUUCACCACCCAUCUAUGAUGCAUAUCUUGAUGUUGAAUCUUUUGACCCAACAAAAGAAAAUAUUGAUGAAUCUCUUCAUGACAACAAUUUUGGUGAUACAUGCCUAAUUGGAGACCAAGAGUUUGAGUUUUCGAAAGAAGUACUUGCAUGCUCAGAUGAAUUACUUGAACCUAGUGAUUUGGAUGACAAAGUUUUAUUUAAUGAACAAGGUAAGAGUCAUGGUGCAUUUUUGGUUUAUGAAAAUGGUGGUGUAGAUUUGGAAACUAAAGUUGGGUUUUCACAUGCCUCACAAUGCUCCAUUAGAUUUGAAUUUCACUACCAUGAUCCUUUUUGGGAUGAUUUCAUGAAAGCUUAGAUCAAUACCAAGUCAAGAACAAAGAAUGAGUUAUUGCAAGUGUUGGAGCUUAAUGCAUGUAAUAUUUGUGCAUCAGAAAAACUUCUUCAAAGGAUUGAGUUGUGCGCCUCUUUUGUCGAGAUGCUACUUGUCAGCAUCACGAAGGAAACAAAGAGAAGCAAGAAGAUAGGGUGGUGACAUUAUGAACUUUUUGAUGAAUUUGAUUUCAAGCAUGCGAACUUAUGGACUAGUUCUUUCUCACCCCAGGGAGAAUGAUGCAAUGCAAAAGGGGGAUUAACUCAUUUGGAAUUUCAAGGAGUCCAUAUUUAACUUUAAUUAAUAGUUAUUAUUUCAAAAUAUGUCUAUUUAGUAGACUUGUUGAAUGAGUAUGAUUUAAUGUGUGAUUGGGAAGUGGGUAUUCUAGAAUGUAUUAGAAGAAAAUGGGGAUUAUGCAUUGUAUUAACAUUUAUUAGAGGGUUGGGUUAGCUCUUUAAAAGGAACAUCCAUGUAUGAGAAAGAUAGACUUUGUUUAUGAAUAUUUCUAUUAAGAAAAAUAGAGCUUUGCUCUCUUUAUCAAUCUCAUUUCUUUAGAUGUGUCUAUCUUGUUCUAGUUAUCAACCUCUACCGAUCCGUUCUCGCAUCAUUAUAAUAUGCAGACUCCAAUUAUAAAGUAAGAAGUUCAUCUUGCAUAAAAUCUUGAGAAUAAAAGCUCUUAGUAUGAGGUGGUGCAACUCGUUGGAGCUAUCUCAGAUCACGAGACCAUUAAACAUUGGGUAUAGAUAUAAUUAAUGACUACACGUGUGUUAUAUGAAGGUUGCAGAGAAUCAAAUGCAUGUGGCAAGGUUCUUUCGUGCAACCAAUAAAACCAAUGAGUAUUGCAACCCCAUUAUUAUGGCUGCUUUCAAACCUUUGAUUAUUAUUUACCUAUUAUUGAAGAUGUUUGACCCAUUAUACAAGUGUUUAUCCCGAACGUACCUUUCCAUUUGUUUGGGAUCCAAUUUAAUCAUCUUUUAGACACCGUUUAAUCUGGUUAUUCUAGAUACCGUUUAAUCUUUUAUUCUGGACAUUGGUAACUUCCCGGGGUUGUUGGUGUUCACCUUAGUCACCGGAGUUUUGUCUUUCUUUUUUGUUGAACUCGUGUUUUCUGCAAUUUGUUCUUCGGCUUUCUCUUCGCUUCCAGUUCGGUUUAGGGUUUAAGGAUCUUCUGUUUUUUUUUUAAAUUCCAAUUCGUACUCCUGUGUUUAGUUCCAUUUUGUUCUCUUCCUUAGUUCUUUAGUUAUUUGGUUUUCUAUUCAAUUGCUUUUGUUUGCUUCACUAUUGUAAACCUUGGGUCAGGCCUUUGUUAUGGCUAUGUUAUAUUCCUAGGUCUUGAGCCUUCUUUAAUGAAGUGGUUGUUUGACCCAAAAACAUCUAAAAACACAAGAUCGACCAAUAUUGUAGUAGAUCCAUUUGUAUUAUUGUAUACAUCAAUAAUGUUAGUACCGUAACAGUACAACAUCUAUAAACAACUUAUCAUCAUAUCAUCAUAUGACAAUUUUUUUCCAGUUCUUAUAUUUUAUUUGUAUUAUUGUAUAAAUCACAUGGAUUUAAUAACUUCAUGUUGGAUAGUACUACAAUAGCUUUAUCACUAUGAAUCCAAGUACUCGGGUUUCAAUAAUCAAUUGACUAGAAAAAAAAAACUCAUUUAAUAUAAAGCGAACACAAACUUUCAAAUCUCCAACAAACUUUCAAAUCUCCAGCAAACUUCAUAAGCACCCUCCUAUCUAAUUAGAUUCUAAAAGUUUUGAUUUUGAUUUUUAGGCAGUCACUUGGGAAAGUGGGGACUGAGGAGACGGGCUAAGGGCGACAAGCUCCGGGCCUCCGACCGACGGGCAACAGCUGCACGGUGCAAGCGACAGGGGAAGUAAGGAUUGAGAUUGAAGAGGAAGGUGUGAGAUUGAAGAGGAAGAAUUACGGAACUAGGGACCUAGCUAGGAUAGACUGAUGUGUUUUAAAAUGUUACUCGCAAGCGCACGAAUCAGUUGCAGCACAAAUAUGCAAGAGCGAGAUUGAACCCACAGGGAAUGUAUGAAAAUAGGAAAAACUAAUCGAAUCCAAAUUAAUUUAACACCAACGUAGUUGAAUGAAAGUUGAUGGUGAAGUAGCUAAAACAAAUAAAAUAGAUAAAAGUUACAUUGAUGACGAAGUAACUAAGGCAUCGGAUUUCACCACAUUACUCAAUAAGAUAUAUUACUUACCAAUUCCCGAAUUAUGAGUAGCAAUCUAGAAAUCAAUAUAUUGCUUUAUCAAGAUUUAACAAUGAAACACAUAUGAAAUUUAUCUAAAGUAGACUCUUCUUCGCUUCUUAAUUAUGAACACCAAAGCAUCACAUGUACACAAAUUUAUUGAAACUACAAAAGAUCAAAGUGUUUACAAAGCAUCAAAUGUGAAACAAGCCCAUUUGAAUGACAAUAGACCAAAGGAUUUCAUUUUAAAUAUUUUACAAAGCGAAGCAUGGAUUAAUAAAAGUGAUUUCCAAACUACCAAAAAUGCAUGACAUUAAAGGUGAAAGGAACAAAAAUCUUAUUAAUGCAUUUUGAAGCAAGAGUCAUAGACAUGAAUAACAUAAUUAUGGGAAUCGACAGAUAAUUAAGAGAAACUUAUUUUAUAAUGUGGUUUCCUCCUUAACUUUAGUUAAGGAAAUUAGCAACACAUAGUACAAAUUGAAAACAUGUUUAAAACAAUACAAAACAUCAUAGGAAAAAUAGCUAAAGAAAGGGAAGAACAAAAGCAACAAUAUGUCUCUCAAUCUCCACUCUCUCCCCCCUCUCCUUAUUCUCUUGAAAACAAGCUCUAUUUAUAGAGCAACAUUGAGCUUCAUUACAACUUCAUCUCCAUGUGAAAAUAACUUUCCUUCUUCAAACUUCUCAUGCUUGAUGACAACAUAUUUCUUCACCCAUAAAUGUUUUCAUACAUCACUUUCUCUUCAUCUACAACAUCAUUUGCUUCUCUCAUUUUUCAUGUACAAGAGUACGUAGACAAACUUUGAAGAAUUAGAAGUGAGCUCCUAGAUUCAUACAAGUUUGUUCCAUGCAAUCUUGUCUUUGGAAAUUUUUCAUGCACUUUUCCAUUUGUAUCAAUGCAUAUCUACGUACCUAUGAAUCAAAUGAGUAAAGUGAAUUCAACAAUUGAAAGCUAAGGUAUAUAUUUUCAAUACAACACACAUAAUGCAAUGGGAAAGCAUUCCACCAAUAGGCACAUGCUAUUAGAACAAUGAAAACAUAUGUUACACUUAGUUAUUUAAUUAAAGGGAAAAAAGACUCAUGUUUAAAACAAUGACUCAAUUUACUAUAAAAAUAGAUAAAUUGCUUCAUAACUUUAACAUUUCAUUUAUUUAGACAUAACAUCUAUAAGAACACAAAAACAAACUAAAUAACUCAAACUAAUUAAAACAAGUAACUAACAUAUAUAAAUCAGGGAUAAUAAUAUGAUAUAAAAUGUGCUCAUCAUAGACGACUAGACGGGGAAGUAGGAUGCAACCUUAACAUGGAACGACAUCAUUUACAUAUAUAUAUAUAUAGACACACACACACACACAGAGGAAGGAUUGAGAGCGAACGUCCGCGCUUUAAAAUGCAGACAAUCCACUUGUGAGCACUUUAUUGGUUGGUACAAUCGUUCAACAAGUCGACCUAAUUUCAGCUAUAUACGUGGGUCCCAUCGACAACAUCUUCUCUAAUUUCCCUUCAAGUGUUAACUAUCACCACAAUCUCCCACCGCAGUUUCAUCACCAUACUUCUACUUGGAUUGACUAUGAUUUCUAUGAAUCAAUCCAAAAGAAACAAAAAUGAAAGCUUCACAUCAUUAAUUGAUCGCUUUACAUCAUUGAUCAACUGUUAGAGCUUUUCAUUGAUUUAUAAUCUCAAACCCACAACAGAAACCCAGAUGCUAGAUCCAACCAGGUAACCAUGAAUUAAUGCAAACUAUCAAAUAAAAAAAUCAUAUUUUCAAUACAUCAGUGCCAAACAAAACAUCUAGUGCAAGUCAUCCUCUUCGUCCCAUCUCAAUCUUCUGCCAAUCUACCUUAUCAUCUACGUGGCUUUCAUUUACCCUAGCUAGCCAUGGCUUUGCCGGAGUUGGACGACGAUGGGUCACUGAAUCUGCCCAAUAAAAUUAAAAAGAUACCCAACAAACUAGAAAUAAGAAGAGCAAAAACAUGUCGAUUGAAUGAAGAGUUUGGAUUUGGAGGCAGAAAAUGAAACGGGUCGGAGAAUGAUCCUAACCCAUCUUGUUAUAAUAGUUAGUUCCUAAUGAGCAUAUAGACAAGUUAAUAUUGUGGCUUUGAUUCUGGUUUUGUCAAUUGAAUGUUUUCUGGCAGAACGAUUGAUUAGGGAAGUAGCGAAGGAUUUUGGGUAUGCAGCUUUUGAAGAGAAAACACAAAGGCCAGAAGAUUAGAGAAGAUGAUGUCGGUGGGACCUGCGUAUAUAGCUGAGAUUAGGUCGACUUGUUGAACGAUUGUACCAACCAAUAGAGUACUCACACGUGGAUUGUCCGCAUUUUAACAAAAGCACGAACGUUCACUCUCAAUCCUUGUAUAUAUAUAUGAUGUGAUGUAGUUUUUUUUUUUUUUUUUUAGGCUUCAAAUUCUCACCUUGGCUCUAGUCCGGUCAAACCUAAAGCUGACUUCACCUCUAGACGUGGAUAUCAGGCUUCGCCGCCUGAGCAUAAGAAGAAAGCAAUAGUAUUUGGUUUUGUUUUAUUCAAGAAAAAGAACAACACUUUCUCUAGCUGAAAUGUAGUAUAUGCAAAAUUUCAACCGCUAUUUCCUAAUAUAAUCUGCUACACAUAGCCACAAAGUAUUACUUGAUUGAGUAGCUCAUGUCAUAAGCUUACACAAGCAAGACAUACACGCUUGAGAAAUAUUAGAGAAGAAAUUUGUUCAAGUAACAAAAUGGAUUUCAUGUUUUUUUUUUUUAAAUGUAAAUCGUUAUAUGUACAAAAUGAAGUAAAUGACUAUAUAGAAUGGCUCACCUGCUUCUCAUGCCCUACAUAUGUACAAAAUGAACUUCAGCUUUGGAAUGAAAUUUACCCCACCCCAAGGAGAGUGAAACGAAAACAGAUCUGAGAGUUUUGUCUCCUCCCCUUUCUCUCUUGCCCAGAUCUAGAUCUAUCUGGGUCUCGAUCGAAGGCUGAGAGUUGGGGGUGGAUCUUACAUCUCCUUCUUCUAGCUUCCUUAGUAAUCUUCUCACCCUUUUGUAGUAUUAUUUUACCCGUUUUGUGGUGAUUUUCUGGUUGAUGUCUAGAUCGGGAGGAUUUUGUUCCUCAAAUUGUCUUUUCAGUUUUUCUCAUUGUCAUCCAAUCUCAUAUGCUUCAAGAUCUAAGAUUACUCAACCCCUCAAUAGAUCAACUCUCUCUACUCAUUACCUCUAAGAAGAUGUCUAUGGUUGCAAGUAUAAAGUGCAAGUCACUUACCCACGCGAUUAUGGGUGCUCACGCAUGGGUUUUACACCCCCCCAUUCUCCAUCGGUCUCGUUCUUGUUCUCGUUCUAUGUUAUGGUUCUUGGUUACAACUUGGUAGCCAUGUUUCUUUCUUGAGAAGUGUUGUUAUGGUGGAAGGAUUGGUGUUGUUUUGUGGGAUCUCCUCUCUUUGGAGGCUGAGUGUUUUAUGGUCUGUGGUUUAGGAUUUGGCUGGCAACGGAACAUCAACUUGCUCAUCCAUGCAUGUCGUUCUGCCUCCGGUGGUUGAUCAAUGGCUUUAUAGAUCGGUAGCGACUGCGACGGCGACGGCGACGGCGACGGAAGAGGCAGCAGCUAGGGUUUGCUUGGGUGGCCGCUGGUUUAGCUUUGAUGUGUUUUGUGUAAUUUUAUUUUUAUCUUUAGGGUUACCAUUUUUACCUUUUCAUGUGGAUUGGGUUGAGUGGUAACUUCCCUAAUGUUUAUCUGUACUUGGGCCUUAUUUGGGCUCUUCCAUUGGACUUUCCCCUUUGGUAAUCAUUAAUAAAACUUUUCAUUAAUUCCAAAAAAAAAAUGUACAAAUUUAAGUAGAUGUAGUGGCUUGCAUGCUUCUCAUACCUUAAAGGUCACAUUCGAUUUGUAACAGGUCGCGAAUUUACAAUGGAUUUCACUCGGAGCAAUUAUAAUUAUGAAAAAUUGUAACAAUUUUCUUUUUUAGAAUGAAUUAAAAGCAACUUAAAAGGAAAAAAAUGGUGGAAUAAAUGUAAAAAGGUGACAUGAUGUCAUAUUGUAAGGCUUG